rnacentral:lncRNA from 1 species
GGAGGGGCGCCUUUCCCUCCUUGAGUUGCCAGCUACAGGCAUAGAGGAGAAGAAGGCCAAGGCCAAGGACGUGAAGCGCAAGGAAGCAGCCGUGCUCGCAGCAGAGCCAGACACCAAGCGAGGCAGAGAACAGCCUGAGUCGUCCAAGAACAGCCGACCAUUCUAUGCCUUCCACAACCUGAACACCCACAACACCAAUGACUGUCAAGACCUCAGAGCCAUUCGCGAAGGAUGCUUCGGCGACGCCCCGAGCGCAGCGACCGGGGCUACGACCGAGGAGGAGGACGUGGAGGCGGACGCUGGGACGACCAUGGUCCAUGCCAGGAGUGGCGCGACAGGCCUCAUGAGGACCGCUGGCAGGAUCAUCCUCGCGAGGGCGCCUGGAGGGACCGGCCUCGUGAGGAUCGCUCUGAGGGCAACGCCGGUCUUCCCCCGCCGCCGCCACCACCAAGAAGGAAUGAUGACCACCAUCAAGACAAGGGGGCUGGGGGCUUCCAGGAGCCGCGUGCAAUCGCCUGCAUCUUGGGCAGCGCGCAGGCCCCAGCCUCACAGCAUAGCUUCAAACAGUUCGCUCGUGAGGUGAAUGCAGCCCUCCCCAAGCUCGAGGCCACGCGCCCGCUCAGGUGGUCCCAGUGCGCCAUCACCUUCAGCUCGGCAGAUCAGCUCAAGUGCGCAGCCACCGCUACCGCCCUCCCGAUGCUUUGUUCACCAGUCAUCAGCAACGUGCAAGUUACCAAGACCCUCAUCGACGGCACUGCAGGGCUCAACGUCCUGUCUGUCGACAUGUUCGACAACCUCCAAGUGCCAUAUGAGCAGCUUCAGCCUACCAAGCCUUUCUCGGGAGUGACCGACGGUUCCACCACACUGAUAGGGCAUGUCCACCUCCCUGUCACCUUUGGGGAACGAAAAAACAACCGCACCGAGCUCAUCGACUUUGAUGCCGCGCACAUCCGUCUGCCGUACAAUGCCAUCCUCGGAUAUCCAGCCCUGGCUCAGUUCAUGGCGGUGACACACCAUGGUUACAAUGUCCUGAAGAUGCCAGGAAGCGGCGGAAUCAUCACGGUCCCGUGCGAAGUGAGGGAUGGGGUGUACUCCCUCGAGCGCGCCUUUCAAGCUGCCGCAAUCGACGACCCCGACAGCAAGAGCGAGGAUCCUCCCGAGGCCAUCCACAAGAAGAAGCACCAGCUGCGCCGUGCCGGACCUCAGGAGGGUGUCGUGGCGGCUGGAACCUCGUCAAGAUCAGCGCCCGCUCCAGGGGCGCCUCCCUCUGUCGCAUAGGAAGGCGCGCCCAGCGCCCUCCUCGGGCAGGGCUCGGGGGCUCUCUUCUGGAGGGCCUCAUACCUUGCCAACAUCACGAGGGAGGUGCUCAGGCACCACUUGGAGGCGUGCUUCGCGGAACGUUUCCCUCAGGAGAACACAGGGCAAGGAGCGCCCACCGCUCAGGAGUUCAUCACUAAGACCACUCAGGAACUGCAAGAUGCAAGGGCCAUGUGCGGCGACCGCCGCUCAUGAGGCGCAGCUCCCCAUCCAGGCGAGGAUGCUGGGCUGCGCGUCUGCGUUGACGUACCAGGGCUCAACAGGGCCGCAUCUCAGGAGCUUUUUGGCCUUUGCGCGUGGGCCGUUGUGAGGGUCCACCACACAACUACAUUCGCAUGCCCUUCGGCUUGCCAAGCAUGUCGUCAGCCUAUCAGUGCAACCUGCAGCGUGUCCUGGCGUCUCAGGAGGCCAGGCACCACGCCGUCCUGGCAGAGAUGGAGACGGUCCUCAGGGAACCACCUGAGCUCCCAGAGCCUCCCGAGGCUCAGGGCCCCGGUGCCUCGUGCGGAACGACCCCUGCACCGCGUGCCUUCAGCUGCACCAACUCUCCUUCGUCGAUGGAACUAGGUGACAUUUUCCAAGUUCGUUUAGCUGGGAGCACCCCUCGGGCUGCAUUAUUCCCAGGCCGAGUGGGUCCAUCCCCGUGGCAUGUAUCUCUUUUGCUUAUGUCUUUAGUUUACCCUGUUGGGGGCGCCCCUCGGGCUGCAUCAUCCCCAAGCCGCUCGGGCCUGACCUGGUGGCAUGUAUCUUUCUGCAUUUACCCAAGCUGAUCUGCCUUCCAUGCUUAACCUACCUAUGGCUAUCACUUGCUUGAUUGUUGCCCACUACGGGGGCCGCGCGCCGGCACCCUUUUUCAGGGCCCUUUUGCGUUGUCUGACCAUCUCGCAGGACCAAGACAAUAAACAAGGGCUAAGACCAGGCGCAACCCGCCUUGAGGUAGGCCCUCGUGAGUCCCGCGCUGGCUCACGAGUGCCCAAGCACACCUUGCUAAACCCUACCAUGCCAGCCACGUGUCAGGGUGGGGCUGUACACACCCCGGGGGCUCUCCGCAGUAGGGAGUCCCCUCGCCUGCUCCAGAAGGCCGUGCGUGAUGUGGGAGUCAUGCGUGGGGUGGUUCCCGCACGCAUGCGUCACAUCAUGGUAAAGAGGCGGCUCGCGCCUUCUCCAUAAAAGGAGGGAGGCGCAGAGGCACGGCCCAUUUACUCGGGUGGACUCGGGUCAUGGCCUUCAAGGCGCCCGUGCCCCAUGAUCACGGGGUGGGGAGCGGCCGCUUCGCCUGUCCCUUCAAUGCUGCUCACUCGCCAUGUGUCCCUCAUGCAGGUGACAGGAGGUGGAGGCGGGAAACCGGGCCGUCGCUGAUUGGGGCAGCGGGCCGGUCCUAAUUCCCUGCGCCCCCGAUGACCGGAUUGGUCGAGUGGGGCGGCCGAGCCUCGACUCCGCCCCUUUAUAAGGAGGGGAAGGAGGGCGGCCUUCCACAUUCUUCCAUCAUCCGUCUCCUUCCACCUCCGCUUCUUCCUUCCAUCCGCCAUGGCGAGAGGAAGCACUGGCCCUUCGACGGUGGCGGCGAGGGUCGCUGCCCACCAGCGCGUUCCUCCUUCCCAAGAGCUCGUGGCGGUGGAACCGGCCACGAGAGGAAGGGGGGGCGAGGUCGAGGUCAUCAUGGCACUCGAGGGAGAGGAGUACGGGGCGGCGCAUUGGCCUCGCCUCCGCCAGCGAUGCCUCCCUCGACGAAGCACCACGCCGGGGACCAGCCCUGUGAAUUCUUCAUCAGGCUGCGCCGGCCACCACGUCGCCGCCUCUGUCUCCCUACUGUCUUUGCUCAGGGGAUGGAGCUCGAUCCACCCCAGACCCUCUGGUUGCACAUGAAGGGCUGCGGGAACGGCGGCACGCAGGUCGACAUCGACUUCCCUGCCCCUCAUGUCAUGUAACUCCGCCGCAGAUGGAAGACGUUCACACGCAACCACAGCCUGACGGCGGGGCUUGUCCUCUACUUCAAGUUAAUGGAGGGCAGCCUGCUCUCCGUCAAGGUCUUCGGAGAUCUCAGAACACGCCUGAAGUGCUGCGUGGAGAGCUCCUCCAAUGAUGAAGAUUCCUCCUCAAGCGGGAGUGACGAGGAGGAUAGCGGCAGCAACGGCGAGGGAGUCGAGCGGCAAGAUGCCGACUCCGACUUCGAUUAACUGCGCUGCCCCUCCUCGUCGUCUCCUUAGGCGGCUGGCAUAGGAGGGCGGAGAGGGCGAAGAAGGCGGGUGGCGGCCGUCAAGUCAGAGUAUGCAGGCACCGAUGCCUUCGUCGCGUAUUGCCGGCCCGCUGCCUCAUCUUCCAGCUCCCCUCCUGGCAAUGGGAUGUUCUCUUGGUGCCUUCUGCUCCUCGCACCUCACCUAGUCAAUCUUUUCGCCCUCCUGCCCUCUUGUUCCACCUUCUGAGGAGAGGGAUAAGAAAGGGAUUAUGGGCAUCUUAUCUUUUUUUAGUUUGUAAGCCUGCGGGCACUUGUUUAUUUUAAGACCUGUUAUCCCCUUGCUCAUGUUUUAAUUCCGUAUGAACUGUACCUAUAUGGGAUGUUUUUAAUGAAAAAGGGUGCUUGCCGGGUUCUUUGUGCGUGAGCGAGGCCCAUGCCAAGGAUGAAUCCUUGUUAUUUUUAAUAUAAACAUGUCGCCCGGCAACAGGCCUUGCCAUCUCCCCACUUCGGUCGACCAUUCUCGCGCUCUUGGCAGAGGCACGGGCGAAGUAGAGUUAGGCCCCUCGUUCAUCUCCUCGCCACCGCGACUACUACCAAAUUCCGACCCAGGAGGUAACUCUUGGGUACAAGAAAGGGGGAGCACGGUGGUUUCAAGGACAUAAACGAGGUUUCACGUGUCCCAGUUCUAUACGGAAACGCAUAACAGGGGGAUGAAAGACUUAUCUGAAUCCACAACCCCCGGCAACCUUGGCUUACCGUGGUUGGAUCAUUGUAUCUUCAGCCCCGACAGUCUUGGCUUGCUGGGGCCGGAGCACCGGUUCGUUCUCUUUUUCCCAAGCGGCUCAGCAGAAGUGUCUGCGUGCCCUGCGAACCAAAGAGAACAGAGAGACGCACACUCGACCUCUUGGCUAGGGGUUAGUCUCCGCUAAGCACUAUCAACCCUAACCGAGGGAAAGACUUGACCUAGCAUGCAUGCUAUAACUUAGGGUGCCAGCGCUUCAUUUAUUUAUGCUCAGGGUCUGCGCCUGGCUUUGUACAGAGGGUUACAUGCCAUGCCGGCAAGGCUCACACAAAAGGUGGUCCACCGGGAAGCCCGACAACUGUACCUUAUGGGUAAAACUUGCGAAGAUGUUUGAUGUUCCAGGAAUUGCUUAAUGGGACAACAUCUUUGGUCUCCAGGCAGACAACGCCGAGCCUGGUGACUCGUAUUACCCAAUAAGGGCCUUCCCACUUUGGCGUCAACUUGUUGGAAUUCUUGGACGAUUGAACGCGCCGAAGAACAAGGUCGCCUUCCUCAGAGCUUCAGGCAUGGACCUUGCGGCUAUGGUAGCGGCGCAAGGCUUGCUGGUAGCGUGCUGCUCUCACAGCUACCCGAAGACGAUCUUCCUCAAGGAGCGUUGCGUCAUCUUGCCGCAAUCACUCUUGCUCAAGCUCAUCAUAAGCGAGCACUCGAGGUGACCCGUAUAUGAGUUCCGUGGGGAGAACUGCUUCUGCCCCGUAUACCAGGGCAAAAGGUGUCUGGCCGGUGGUUCGAUAUGGCCUCAUCCUGAUUGACCAAAGAACCGCCGGCAGUUCAUCAAUCCAGCGCCUUCCGCUUUUGUACAGCCUGUCAAAAGUAUUGUUCUCAGGCCCUGCAGUACUUCAGCAUUUGCCCUCUCCACCUGGCCGUUGCUCCAUGGGUGUGCCACGGAAGCAAAACAGACCUUGCUAUCGAGGUCUUGAGUGUACUGCAUGAAGGCGUGGCUUGUGAACUGUGUGCCGUUGUCGGUGAUGACUCUGUUUGGCACACCAAAACGGCAGACAAGUCCCUUGAAGAACUUGACGGCUGACUGUGCUGUCACCUUCCUUACUGCUUCCACUUCCGGCCAUUUUGUGAACUUGUCGAUUGCAACCUACAAGUACUCAAAGCCCCCGACAACAUGGGGGAAAGGGCCCAGUAUGUCGAGCCCCCAGACAAAAAACGGCUAGGAGAGAGGAAUUGUUUGAAGGGCUUGAGCUGGUUGAUGAAGCUUCUUUGAAUGGAACUGGCACGGUUCACACCUGGUUACUAGUGUCGUUGCAUCCUGGAGGGCGGUGGGCCAGAAGAAGCCUUGCCGGAAUGCUUUGUUGGCAAGGGCCCUUGACCCUAUGCGGGAGCCACAUAUGCCUGCAUGUAUCUUUGCCAACAGCUCCAGUCCUUCCUCCCAGGGGAUGCACUUCAAUUUUACACCAUUCGAUCUUUUUCUGUACAGGACGUCAUCGACGAACUGGUACAAGGUAGACCGAUGGACUACUUUUUCUGCUUCUUCCUGCUCUUCAGGAAGUUCCCCUGUCUGGAGGAAGCGGACGGUAUGUUGUUCCCAUGCCGGAGCUUGGGGCUCGACGGCAAGGACCAAAGGCAUUUCUUCCGCCAUGGGGGCGGCCGUCUCUACGGCCAGGGCUUCGCGCCCUGCCAGAGCCGGCUUCCCCUUGGCAGGCUCGGAAUCCGCGGCAACACUCUCACCGGCGGCCCCUGGGGGCUCGGCAGGAAAGUACUUGCCGGGGCUCGAUUUCCUCCGCUUGUUCCGCUCCGUAUACGGUUCGACGGAUGGUUGAGUUAGCCGAAGCAAAAAGGUACUUGGUUCCACAGGUAGCUUGAAUGCAGCGCGCUUCGACAGGUAGUCAGCGAUGUCGUUCUCCACUCAGGGAAUGUGAUCCGCUUGAAUACCGUCGAAGUGCUCCUCCAGCUUCCUCACCUCAUCUACGUAGGACUCCGUCAACAGGCUCUGGUAAUCUUUGUUGACAUGUCUGACGACAAGCUGCGAAUCACCCCUGACGAUGAGCUUCUUCACCUCGAGGUCUGCCGCGAUCCUGAGACCGGCGAGCAGCCCCUCGUACUCAGUAGUGUUUUUUGUGGAUAUCUCCCUAGGAAAGUGCAUCUAGAUCACAUACUUGAGGUGCUCCCCGGUGGGUGCGACAAGCAGCACACCGGCACCGACGCCUUGCAGUGAGAAAGCCCCAUCAAAGUACAUGAUCCAGUCAUGACUUGCCUCCUUGCCGGGGAGAGCGGUCUCCUGGAUUUCCUCGUCGGGCAUUGAGGUCAAUUCUGCAAUGAACUCCGCCAAGACUCUGCUCUAGAUUGUGGAAGUACUUUCAAACUUCAACCCAAAGCUUGACAACUCCAAGGCCCACUCCACAAUCCUUCCGGUCGCAUCUGGGUUGUGUAGUAUCCGUUGCAACGGGAGGAGGAUGACGACAAUAAUCUCAUGGGCUUGGAAGUAAUGAUGUAGCAAUUUCUGCACACGAGAGUACCUUGACCUGCCCCCUGCAAGAGGGAGCUGACAAAGUAAACUAGGUGCUGCAUCAUCUUCUUCUUCUGCACCACUUCACUUGGCUGCGCGGGCCCUUCCCCGAUGGCGUUGGAUUCUGCCAGGGGCCUUGCCUUGCCGGCACCAGGCCCUGCCGGGUGAAUCCCUGACUUGCCAUCCGCCGGUCCUGCCAUGGCCACUGUCUCUUCGUCGACCUCUCUCUAUGCCACUAGUGCGGCGCUGACCACUUGAUUCGUUGCCGCUAGAUACAGCAGCAACGGCUCUUAUGGUUUAGGCGCAACCAGUAUUAGCGUGGAGGAAAGUUAUUUCUUCAGAUCCUGCAAUGCCGCCUUGGCCUCUGGGGUCCACUCCAUUGGGCAUGCCUUCUUCAAGAUUUUGAAAAAGGGAAGGGCACGUUCAGUAGAGUUGGAGAAGAACCUAGUCAUGGCGGCAACGCAGCCAGUGAGCCGGCGCACAUCCUUGAUCCACUUGGGUGCCUCAAUCUGCUAAAUAGCCUUGAUCUUGUCUGGGUUUGCCUCGAUCCCACACUGUGACACAAAGAACCGGAGAAGUUUUCCUGACGGGAUGCCAAAGACACACUUCUCAGGGUUCAGCUUGAGGUUGAUCUUGCGUAGGUUGGCAAACGUCUCUCCUAGGUCUUGUACAAGGGUCACCUUGUCUUUGGUUUUGACCACUAUGUCGUCCAUAUAUGCUUCCAUAUUUCUAUGUAGCUGGGGUUCAAAACCAAUCUGGACCGCCCUUGCAAAUGUCGAGCCAGCACUCUUCAACUUGAAAGGCAUCCAUAAAAAGCAAUACGUACCACAUGGGGUGAUAAAGGCCUUCUUCUCUUCAUCUUCUCUUGCCAUGAUGAUCUGGUGGUAGCCCGAGUAGGCAUCGAGGAAUGACAAUAGAUCACACCCGGCCGUGGAGUCAACAAUUUGGUCGAUGCGCGACAACGGGAAGGGGUCCUUAGGACAAGCCUUAUUGACAUCCGUGUAGUCAAUACACAGCCUUCACUUCCCAUUUGCCUUGCGCACCACCACCGGAUUGGCCAACCACGUCGGAUGGAGCACUCCUCUCACCAACCCUGUCGCUUCGAAUUUCCUGAUCUCCUCUCUGAUGAACUCUUGUCAUUCCAAAGCUUGCUUCCUGACCUUCUGCUUGACGGGUCAUGCAUGGGGACAGACAACAAGGUGGUGCUCAAUCACUUCCUUGGGAACGCCGGGGAUGUCGGAUGCUUGCCAUGCAAACACAUCGAAAUUCGCCCACAGGAAAGUGAUGAGCGCGCUUUCCUAUUUGCUGUCGAGGGUGGAGCUUGUAGUGAAAGCCCCUCCCGUGCCAUCCUCCUUGAUGGACACCUUCUUGGUCUCUGGUGGUGCAGCUUUGGAUUUCUUGCUCUUGCCGGUAGAGCUCUCGGGCACGUCCUCGAUGCUAGCACAGCACUCCAAAGAUGUGCACUUGCCGGAGUGGGUGCGAGAGCUCUUGCGGGUCUUCUUCUUCCCUCCCGGGGCUUCAACGGCAGGAGCAGGUGCCUUGGCUGCAGCUGCUACAACUGCUUCUGGAUAGAGUUGGUCACCCAGAUCAGCGCAUCCCUUCUUAUCGGAAGGGACGAUGAUGAUGGUCAUCGGCCCGGGCAUCUUCAGCGUAUUGUAGGCGUAGUGCGCCGCCGCCAUGAACUUGGCUAGUGCCGGGUGGCCGAGGAUCCCGUUGUAGGGCAAGGGGAUCUCGGCCACAUCAAAGACGAGGGGAUAAGGGUAAGGAUCCCGUUGUAGGUCAUGUAGUUCAACUCACCUCCAAAUGUCACGGGCAAUGUGACCUUCCCCUUCGGCUGGCUCCUUCCCAGACUGACCCCUUGGAACGUACCCGUUUCCUCAAGGUCUCCAUCAGGAAUUUGCAGCCUUUUGAUCACGACGGGCGAGAUCAAGUUCAGGAUGGCCCCGCCAUCAACCAGCAUCUUGUUCACCUUGAGGUUGCGUAUCGUUGGUGAGACCAAUGACGGUAAACACCUGACAGCAGUUGUGCGGUCAGGGUGGUCCUCGGCGUCAAAGAUGAAGGGUGUGCUGGACCACUUCAGUGGCUUCUGAGCAUCGAACGAUGGCUCUACUGCUGUAAUCUCAUGCGCCCACUGCUUGAGCUGGUGGUGAGAAGUGUGCAGCGAGGCGCCACCAUCGACGCACAUGGCCUCCGUAGCCUUCUGGAACUCAUGCUCACCGGACUCGUCGUCCUCGUCACGAUCAUCGUCUUCCUGCUUCUUGUGGCGGCCCCGGGCGGGCCUCUCUUGCAGGUUAUCCUUGCCGCGGCGACCUCGUUGGCCGCCACGCUUCUUGCCGGAUCCUUCGGCACCAUCCCGACCCUUCUCCUUGUCCCGGCUAUCGUAUUCGGAUUUUUGCUUUUCAGCAAGCAGCUUAACUUGUCGGCAGUUCUGGAGGUCAUUGCCCUUGGUGCGGUGGAUCUUGUAGUAUUGCUUGUUAGAGCCCCCUGGCUUGUCGGCAGCUGCCAAGGCCCGGCAAGUGGCGCACCCGACAAUCUCCUUGCCGGGGUCGUCUGCCUUGGCCUUCUUGGCGGCGCUGGUGUCGCCGGAUCCCUCGACGGCAAGCACGGUCUUGUCCUUGCAUUUCCUAUUGCGAUGCCGGCCCUUCUUCGUUGGUGUGGCGGUGUCUUCGCCGGUAGAGUCGGUUUCUGCACCGGCAUCUUCGCCGGGGUACUUCCUUCCCUCUUCUGCCCAGGUGCAUCUAUCGGCCAGAACCUAAAGUUCGGCCACGUCCUUGACCUUGUUCAUUGCCAGCUCUUUACGCAUCUUGCGGUUAUGCACAUUCUGAUGGAAUGCGCUGAUCACGGCGGCAGGAUGAACAAUGAUGUUGUAUUGCACUCGGUUAAACCUCUGUAUGUACUUGUGCAUGUUUUCACCUUCCUUCUGGGGAAUGAUAUGCAAAUCACUCGCCUGGCCAUGAGCCUGGUGGCCUCCAGUGAAGGCACCAACAAACUCGUGUCACAGAUCUGACCAAGAAGAAAUGGAAUCCACCGGCAAGUGCAUCAACCAAGACAUGACAUUGGGUUUCAGGGCCAACGGGAAGUAAUUGGCAAGAACCUUGUCGUCACGAGCUCCAGCGGCUUGCGUAGCGAUGGUGUAGAUGCCGAGGAACUCUGACGGGUGGGUCUUGCCAUCAUACUUCUCGCCGACGUCGGGCUUGAACAUGCGGUGGGACGGCCACUUCGACUGCCGCAGCUCAUGGGUAAAGGCUGGGCAACCCACCUCGUAAGGUAGGCCGCCGGAGCCUCCCGGUGCUGGGUGGUCCAUAGCGGGCCCCGCCCGCCUGUUUGACUGAUGGCGCAUAUCGCACCGGCGCUCGAUGGUGGUUCGAGCGUCUUCAUGGGCUCGCUCCUGAAGAACCUAGCGUUGAUCGCGGCGGGUCCGUGGGUCGGACGGCGCUAUGGAAAUGUCAUCACAAGCGUCAUUGCGACGGAUCGACAUCCGCGGUUGAUGGCAUGGAGGAGGCGAGUGCACCAUGGCCGCGGCACUCCAGCCUCUCCACGGCCAGCAUGCAGUGGCUCAAUGGAGCGCCGGCCUGAGGGCCCAGGCCGGUCAUGGCUCUUCUUUGUUGGCGAUGCCGACGAGGCUCCGGAUAGUGGAUCUCCACUCGUCGAGCUUCUCUGCGACGGGAGGGAAGUUGAGGAGCAGCUAUGCGCGCGCCAAGGCUUCUGCUGGUGUGGGCGGCGGUGAAAGCUGCAUGGACCGUGGUGCGGUUCGGCUUCUAACCACGUUAGAAGGUGCUCUGUCACGGCCCAGCGGCUGUGUGCCGUCCUCGCCAGCACUUCGGCGGGCAUGAUGGCUUCCUUCGUCCGCGGAUGACGCACAUGACUCUUCCCACGGCGGCGUCCAGGGUCACCGGCGUGGUGACGCUGCUCGUCGCGCACAACCUGGGAAGAGCGCGAUGUGGGCGCUGGAGUGGGCGUCUUGGAGGUCACCGCGCCGCCCGGGGGUGGUACGGCGAUGCCCUUGGAGGGUCCCGCGCCGUCUACGGGGGCCCAGCUCCAUCUCUGGAUUUUGUGGCGUGUAGCCCGUCGCCUUGCGCACGAACGACGCCGCUCGCCAGGCUCUGACUUCCAGAGCGAUGUUGGUGCUCGCGGGUCGCGCCUCGGGUUCUAUCCGCGACUGGCCCGCUGCUCGCCCGCACCGGUACAGGCCGUCCGGCUCCCGACGAACCGACCGCCGUGGCCACCUUCUUCUUGGGAGCCAUGGCGACGAAGAACUUCUAGGCUAUCUGCUAGACCAGAUUCCCACAACUGCGGGCCCCUACCUGGCAUGCCAAAGAUGUCAGUGGGAACAACACCUAUGGGAUCCCUUCUAUGGUCGGCGGGCGCGGGGUCGUGAGGAGAGCCGGUCUAGGAGCAAGCACACGAGUCGUUUACCCAGGUUCGGGCUGCGAGGACGCGUAAAACCAUAGUCCUGCUUUGGUGGAUGCAUUAAGUGUUCUUGAGCUUUCCGAACUAGCUAGCUGUCUCGUUCCAAAAAGCCGAAUCCUUCUCCUGGUAGCCUCGGGCCUCCUUUUAUAGGAAAAAAGGGGCUGCCAUAGUGGCACACAGGAGGUGGAAAGGCCUAUAGUGCAUGAGCUUAUCGCACGACAUUAUAGGACAAAGCGCAUUAAAUGCACUACGUAGGUGUCCAUUAGCUUUAUCGGGGACGGGAAUGAGGCCCGUCCCGUCCGUCGCCGCUUUGCCUCGCUUCAACACGCGCCUAGGCCGGCGAUGCAUGCAGCGCCACGCCUUGGCAAGGAUCUUGCCAAGGGAGUCCACCUCGCCCUCUCGCCCUCCCGUGCUUCCGGUCUUGGCGUCGCCUUGGUCGUCUCGUGCUUUGGCUUCUCUCUGGCUUCCCUCCUCUGCCCUGCUAAGUGUGGCCGCGACGCGUGGCUCUGACUGCCUGUGCACAAGUAAAGGGGUCAAAAGGAGAGCCCCUACUUUUGUACACCUACACUUUUCAUCUACUCCAAGGUCUUUUGACUUGGAGUCCAAGUCCAACAGGUGUCUUCUGGUCCAAGAAAAAUCAUCACGAAAGUUUUAUUCCGUUUGGUAUUCCUUUUCUGCGAAGCUCAAAAACAAGGAAAAACUAAAACUGGCACUAGGCUCUAGGUUAAUAGGUUAGUUCCAAAAAUAAUAUAUAAUAUCAUAUUAAUGCAUAUAAAACAUCCAAAACAGAUAAUAUAAUAGCAUGGAACAAUCAAAAAUUAUAGAUACGUUGGAGACGUAUCAGCCUACCUUUCCCGCGGAGUACAUCAGUGAAGCACGGUGGUUAGCUAGUUGGGCUAGUGCGACCGAUUAGCUAGGCCGCUGCCACAUUUGUUUUUACCCCUUUUUUCUCUCCUUGCUAGUAGGUAAAUUUAAAUAUCCACUGCAGCAUUGCUCUGGUCUUUGGGUGUGGUAGGCGCGAUAGGAUUUUUAUUUUUUUGAUUGAUGAGAGUAGGCGCGGCAGCAAUUAGUCAUGAUGACUCCGCCUGUAAAACCCGCUGCUCCCUGAUGUGAAAAGUCAUCGACUAGUGUUUUCCCAUGGUGAAAACCUAAAGAUUCACCCCACUCCUCGGCUGGCUCUCUCCGCCUUCCCAUAGAUUGCAUUGUCUUUCAGCCGUUUCUCCCCCUUUGAUUCCUCUCUCCAUUGCUUCUACCUGGUUCCAUGGUGGCGCACCAGAUCACGAAAUAUGAGGUGGGGCGCCUGACAUGGGCGCUCCAGGCCAAGGAUGCGGAGCUCAGGGCCAAGGACGUGGAGCUCCUCCUUUAUGUGCGUGAGUUCAUGGAGCUUCAAAAGCGGCAGGCGUCCACCACAAAGAUGCUCGAGGCAUCGGCGACGUUGCUGUAGAAAGCGGGAGAUAUAUUAGGCGGUGAGGCAAGCCGGUUGGAGCGCGAGCGGGCCGAUCGUGACGAGGUCCAAGAUCACCUCAACCACUUGGUGGACCAUGUUGCCAUGCAUGUGUUGCGGCUGCGCGAUGCCUACCGUCAUGCCAGCGCGACCAUGCCGGCCGUCGGGCUAAACCCAUUCGACCACCCCAUCGACUUCAAUGACCUGGGGCUUCCUGACUUGGUCUCCUUCUUCACCUAUAUCUCUGAGGAGCUGAGCCAUCUCCGUGUGAUGGUGGGGGCGGAGCUGGACAAGGAGGGGCUGUGGGCGGCUGUCGCCGUUGCUGGACGAAUCCUCUCACGACUUCGUCACCGGAAUCCAUUCGUGCCAUUGGACGCCGUCCUUGACGAGCCGACUCUUGUCGACCGGGAGCGGGCUCCGCGGGCGGUGGCACCCUACAUCAUUGACGUCGUGCACCUCAAGAAGCAGAGGGACUUUAGUGGUCUUAAGGCAUCCUCUGCAUGGGCAUGUCUCGGUGCAACAUGACCGUUGGAUAAAACUCAGACAAUGGAGACUAGUCACUAUAGCACAAAGCGUGCGGGUGUGUUUGGUUGCAUUCUCAUCUCAAUAUAGUUGUUCCCUCCUCAUGCAUGCUCAUCUCAGCACCCCUCUUCAUGCAUGGUCUGCAUGCUCCAAGUGUAUUUGUGUUAACCACUAGUGUGGACUCAUGCACCCUUCAUGCACUCUACCAAACACCCAAAAGUGCGUCGAGAAGGGAACUUUUGCUCCCAUGCACCCUUCAUACACCCUACCUAACACUGAUUCGUGCUCCAUAUGGUUCAUGUUCCAUGGAGUACUGUAGCACCGUACUCUCCAUGCGCUGUAGACCUAGUUCACCUAGUUCUAUUAACAUUGAUCUCACCGUUCAUUCUCGACCGGACAGUCAAAAAAAGGGCAUGUUACAUUACUAUUCAUAUAGUUGACGUGCACACAACAUCAUUUUUUAUCGUCAUAUCUUACUACACUAGCAACAAGAUUAUACUCCCUCCAUUCCUAAAUAUAAGUCUUUUUGCUGAUUUCAAAUGGACUACCUCAUACGGAUGUCUAUAGACAUAUUUUAGAGUGUAGAUUCACUCAUUUUGCUUUGUAUGUAGUCACUCGUUGAAAUCUGUAGAAAGACAAAUGUUUAGGAACAGAGGGAGUAGUACUGACAUAUGAAGCACUACACAUGCCUAGUAUAGUAGGAGUACGGUGUAAGUUCAAGUGGCUGCUGUGUUUCGCACUCCUCCAUCAUAAGAGUGGAAACACUUGCUAUAAUCAUUUUUUAGAAACAGUGGACACACUCUACCGUGUAGAUCCUCCUUGACGGUCAUUAGGAACCUUGCUACUCACUUUCCCCGACGUGUGGCACAACCAGCAUCGGGGGCCACUUGAACUUACACAGUACUCCUUGUGUUGGAUGCCUUGGGUUGUGGUGUUGAUCUUGAUCAUGUAGUUGAACUUGUGUUGGAUGCUCACGGUUGAUGUAGUCCAUCAAGAGCUGGAAGCAUCCUUUGGAGUUGAAGUUCAUCUUCCUACAUGGGUUAGUCUUGCAAGGAAUAACACUUGUGUAUCCAAAUUGAUAAUCAUGAAAUUUAACAUAUAGAUGUUGUCAAAGGAUAUGUGAAGUAAGUUUAUGCUUCCUUAUCCUCAACAACCAAAGCAUAGAUACUUGGCAAUGUAGAGACUGCUCAAGAUGUGAGUGAUUUGAAAUCUCAUAGAUUGAGUCUCAUCCAAGUACCUACAAGGGUUAGAUAACACACAAGGGUGCAAAUAUAUCCAAGAUAAAUAGUCAACGUCAUAAGAGAAACAUCAAGGAUUAGUCACAUAGGCUCAUGCCUUGCAUGUAUGCAAGGAGUCUCUACUCCAAAUUUGAGGCAUCAAUGAUAUUCAAUUCACAUCUCAAAUGACAAAAUAUCUUUUCAUCAAGCGGUUUAGUGAAGAUAUCCGCCAAUUGCUUGUUGGUACGAAGAUGCUUAAGAUUGAUAUCUCCCUUAGCAACAUGAUCAUGCAUGAAAUGAUGACGAACUUCAAUAUGUUUAGUUAGAGAAUGUUGCACGGGAUUGUGAGCAAUCUUAAUGACACUCUCAUUGUCGCAAAGCAAUGUAACAUGUUUCACAUGUAUCCCAUAAUAUUUAAGAGUUUGGGUCAUCCAAAGUAAUUGAGCACAACAUGAUCCGGCGACAAUGUAUUCCGCUUCCGCGAUGGAUAAGGAUACCAAAUUUUGUUUCUUGGAGGACCAACAGACAAGGGAUCUACCAAGAAAUUGACAUGUACCCAAAGUGGACUUUCUAUCAACCUUGUCACCGGCAUAGUCCGAGUCGGAAUAGCCAACAAGAUCAAAAGGUGACCUCUUAGGAUACCAAAUGCCAAAGUUUGGUGUAUGAACUAAAUAUCUCACUAUCAUUUUCAUGGUCUUAAGAUGACAUUCAUUAGGGGCCGCCUGAUAUCGCACACACAUGCACACACUUAGCAUAAUAUCGGGACGGGAGGCACAUAGAUAUAAUAAUGAACCAAUCAUAGAUCGGUAAACUUUUUGGUCAACUGGGUUGCCAUCCUUAGUCAAGUCAAUAUGUCCACUAGUAGGCAUGGGUGUUUUCAUACCUUUGCUUUCUUACAUAUUCAACUUCUUGAAAAGAUCCUUGGUAUACUUUGUUUGUGAUACAAAGGUACCUUCCUUGGUUUGCUUGAUUUGCAAUCCAAGGAAAAAAUUUGAGUUCACUUAUCAUAUACAUCUCUAACUUCUCCAACAUUAGCCUUCCAAACUUUUCACUAAAAUGGGGGUUAGUAGAACCGAAUACGAUAUCAUCCACAUAAAUUUGGCACACAAAUAGUUCUCCAUUAACCCUUUUAGUAAAAAGAGUAGAAUCAAUUUUCCCAAUUUCAAAGCCUUUUUAAAUAAGAAACUUGGUCAAGCAUUUAUACCAAGCUCUAGGGGCUUGUUUAAGACCAUAAAGAGCUUUAUGAAGUUUGUAAACAUGAUUAGGUUUCUUGCGAUUAACAAAGCCGGGAGGUUGUUUAACAUAAGUGUCCUCUUCUAUUUCACCAUUUAGAAAAGCACUUUUAAUGUCCAUUUGGUAUAGACUGAUAUCAUGGUGAUUGGCAUACGCAAGUAAAAUACAAACAGACUCAAGUCUAGCAACGGGGGCAUAUGUCUAACCAUAGUCCAUACCUUUGACUUGAGUGUAGCCUUGAGCAACAAGACAGGCCUUGUUGCAUACAACUUGUCCAUCUUCAUCUUGCUUACUCCGAAAUACCCAUUUGGUUCCAAUGACAUUAUGAUCACCGUUGGGCUUUUCAACCAAUGUCCUAAUGCGGCUUGAAACUGCGUUGGUAUUUCCCCAAAGAGGAAGGGAUGAUGCAGCAUAGCUAUGGUAGGUAUUUCCCUCAGUUAUGAAACCAAGGUAUCAAUCCAGUAGGAGGACCAAGCAACACUUUGUAAACAAUACCUCCACACAAAGAACAAAUAGUUGCAACCCAACGCGUAAGAGGGGUUGUCAAUCCCUCCUCGGUAAAAAGAUAAAUUGUUUUGUGAUAGAUUGGAUAAAUAGAUCUCGAUAAAACGUAAAAUAAAAUAAAGAAAGAAAAAGUGCAGCAAGGUAUUUUUGGGUUUUUGGAAAUAUACAUCUGAAAAUAAAUAUGGAAAAAGAUAGAUCGUAAAGAAAAUAUGAUAGAAGAUAGACCUGGCCGGGGGUCGUAGAUUUCACUAGUGGCUUCUCUCGAGAAAUAGCACACGAUGAGUAAACAAAUUACUGUUGAGCAAUUGAUAGAAGAACAAAUAAUUAUGAUGAUAUCCAAGGUGACGAUCAAUAUAUAGGCAUCAUGUCCAAGAUUAGUAGACUGACUCCUACCUGCAUCUACUACUAAUACUCCUCACAUCGACCGCUAUCCAGCAUGCAUCUAGUGUAUUAAGUUCAUGGAGAAACAGAGUAAUGCAAUAAGAACGAUGACAUGAUGUAGACAAGAUCUAUUCAUGUAGUAAUAGACCCCAUCUUGUUAUCCUUAAUAGCAAUGAUACAUGCGUGCCUUGUUGCCCCUUCUGUAACUGGGAAAGAACACCGCAAGAUCGAACCCAUCACAAAGCACCUCUUCCCAUCGCAAGAAAAAUCAAUCUAGUUGGCCUAACUAAACCAAAGAUUCAAAGAAGAAAUACGAGGUUAUAAAUAAUCAUGCAUAUAAGAUAUCAAAGAAGACUCAAAUAAUAUUCAUGGAUAAAAAUCUGAUCAUAAACUCGAACUUCAUUGGAUCCCAACAAACACACCACAAAAACUCAUUACAUCAAAUAGAUCUCCAAGAGACCAUUGUAUUGAGAAAAAAGAGAGAAGAAGCCAUCUUGCUAAUCCCUACGGACCCAUAGGUAUAUGGUCAACUACUCACGUAUCAUUGGAGAGGCACCAAAGAGGAUGAUGAACCCCUCCAAGAUCGUGUUCCCCUCUGGCAGAGUGCCGAAAUAGAGCUCUAGAUUGGAUCUCGUGGUUCUAGAACUUGCGGCGGCUGGAAUUGUGUUUCAUCGACUCCCCUAGGGUUUCUGGAAUACUUUGGAAUUUAUAGGGCGAAGAGGCGGUGCAGGAGACCCCCAUGGGCCCCACAACCCACCAGAGCGCGCCUGGGCCUCCUGGUGCGCCCUGGUGUCUUAUGGUCCCCACGGGCCUCCUUCCAUGUGCUUUCUUGACCCUCAAGGUUUCUUCUGGUCCAAAAAAAUCUCCAAAAAUUUUCACUGCGUUUGGACUCCGUUUGAUAGGGAUAUUCUACGAAGCAAAAAAACAAGCAAAAAAUAGUAGCUGACAUUGGGCACUAUGUCAAUAGGUUAAUCCCAAAAAAAUGAUAUGAAGUUACUAUAAAAUGAUUGUAAAACAUCUAAGAUUGAUAAUAUAACAGCAUGGAACAAGCAAAAAUUAUAGAUACGCUGGAGACAUAUCAUGUCCACACUUGAUUCCUCACGAAAUUGUGUAGCACUUUGUGCAUAGCAUUUAUCCAAUCCGGAUCCUCAAGGGCUUCUUCUACCUUCAUAGGUUCAACACUAGAAAUGAAUGAGUAGUGUUCACAAAAUUUAGCCAAACGAGUUUUAGAGCGAGUGGUUCUCCCAGUUUGGAUGUCAUCGAAGAUUUGUUCGACGGGAUGAUCUUUCUGAGACUCUUGCUUUAACUCAUGAGAGCUUUUGCUUGGGUUGAGGUGGAACAUCCUCCUCCUCAUCUUCUUCUUCAUUGUUGGUGGCAUUGUCAUUUUCUUGUGGAUGUGGAGAAGGAGGUCGAGGUAUCUUGUUGUACUUCCUCAUUUCCUUCGUCUUGACGUGUUCCACUUGUGGAUGCCUCCAAGACAACUUGUGGUUCACCUUGAUGUGAAGUUGAGGCUUCCACUUGAAUGGAUGAGGUACUCUCCUUCACCUCCAUUGGCCGAAUUUUGCCGAUAGACAAAUCUUGAAUUGCUUCCGAGGGAUCUUUAUCUCCUAAAUCAAUUGGCAAUUGCUCUACUUGCGGGCCGUUAGAUUUAGGGCUGGAAAAAAGCUCGAAGCUCGCGAGCUAAAUGAGUAGCUCGUAACUCGGCUCGAAUCGACUUGAAUUCAAAGAAUAAUGAGCCAAGCUGAGCUUUAGUUUAAGUUCGUUUACAAACCAAGUUAAAUGAGCCGAUCUCAUGAGUACUCGUGUAACUCAUUAGGUUUGGUAAAAAAAUUAGUGUUUUUUAGGGGUAGUAAAAUACAGCCACUAAACACCUUGCAUCCCGACACAAGGCCCAACCGCUCAAGGCCGAGCCACUCAGGAGACUCACACAUACAUGACCACAUAUGCACAUGCUAAAUCGUAAGUUAAUCUUUUUAUCGCAUUUGUAAGGUCCGAUGUUCAUAUCUUUAACGAGCUUAACAAGCUAAACGAGCUAGCUCGUGAGUUAUACGAGUCAAGCCAAUCUUGGAUUUGAGCUCCUUAUAGUAACGAGUCGAGUCGAGCUAGCUCGUUAAUGAAAUGAGCAUUAGCGAGUCGAGUCGAGCUGGCUUGACUCGGCUCGAAUUCCACCCCUAGUUAGAUUCAUCAAACUUCACAUCUACCAUCUCUUCAACCUUUUGGGUGAAAUUGUUGUAGAUACGGUAAGUGCGAGAGUUCGAGCCAUAACCGAGUAGGAAACCUUCGUGAGAUUUAGCAGCAAAUUUUGAACGAUGAUGCUUAUCAAGAAUGUAGCACUUUGAGCCUAAUACUCGAAACUAUCCAACUUGGGGUUUGUUACCGUUGAGUAGCUCGUAUGUCGUUUUGCCGACAAGCUUGUGAAGAUAUAGUCGAUUCAUAGAAUGACAAGCUGUCUCAACUGCUUCGCCUAAAAAUGUCUUGACGUUUUGUACUCAUCAAGCAUCAUUCUCACCAUCUCAAUAAGUUUUCAGUUCUUCCUUUCAACAUUUUCCUUCUUGAACUCUGUUCCAUUAUCACUUUGAACCUUCUUGAUCUUCACUUAAAAUUGGUUUUGGUCCUUCUUGGCGGAGUUCUUGAUGAUCAUUUGGACCUGCGAUUUGAUUUGGACCCAUGAUUUGUCAUCAAUAAAGAACACCCAUGUAAAUCUUGAAAAAUCAUCAACAAUUGCCAAAUCGAAAGAGUUACCACCAAGGCUCUUAUAAGCAUUGUGACCGAAAAGAUCCAUGUGAAGUAGCUAAAGUGGUCUCCUCAUGGUCAUGAUGUUCUCCACGGGAUGACUUCCUCCAACUUGUUUUCGUACUUGACAAGUGCUACAAAGUCUAUCCUUGUCAAAUAUAACAUCUUUAACACCAAGGAUAUGAUCAACUUUAAUAAGCUUAUCAAGAUUUCGCAUGCCCACAUGACCUAACCUUCUAUGCCACAACCAUCCUUUAGAAGAUUUAGCAAUUAAGCAAGUACGAGGUUGGGCUCUCUUAGUGAAAUCAACAAUAUAUAGGUCACCUCUACGGAUACCAGUAAAGACCAUGUUAUGAUUAUCCCUACGAAACACUUAGCAAUCUACUUCGGUAAAUAGAAAAUUGAAACCAAAGUCAGCUAGUCUAGAUACGAAAAGAAGAUUGUGACCAAGAUAUUCAACGAGCAUAACAUUUUGGAUAGAGCUAUAAUUGGAAAUGGCUACCUUACCCUUGGAGUUGUCUUCAAAAGUUACAUACUUGCGUGGGCCGUCGUUUUUAGCAACCUCACGGAACAUGUCCUUAUCUUCGGUCAUAUGAUCAGUACAUCCACUAUCGAGAAUACACUCUUUUCCUCCGGCCAUGUAAUCACGGAAGUUUGCCAUGAGACUAAGAUUUCUCAUAGUCUCCUAAAACUCAAUGUCACUAUCUUCGUCUUCAUCAUAAUAGCCAUGUUUAAUGUCAACGUCAUCAUGUAUGUGAUCAUCACCUAGAGCAAGUGAUUCAUUAGAUUUAUGACCACGACAAUGUUCAAUUUUACGAAUUCUAAUUGUCUCUGAGAUGAUGCUACUAAUGAUUCCAACAUUUCCUUUAGCAUACAUGAGACCAUAGAGCUCAAAUAGACAUUCAUCAAACUCGGGAUCACUAGGUUCCAUUUUUUGAAAAUCAAUGGAUUUUUUAAGAAUCUCAUCUUGAUUUUUCAAGGAAUAAUUUGGAAAGUGUUCUUCAAGAUAAUUCCAUAUAGUAUAUGCACAUUCAAAAGUAGGCGAGCACACGGGCAAAUUUCUAGGCAAUCCUCUAAUGAUAAGAUCAACAAUCCUAAUAUUGCAAACCAUAUCAAGAUACUCAUCGGGGGUCGGAUGCAAGGGGUCAAUAGGAGGCACAUAAGGGCUAAGAAUAUACUUGUUCAAAUUAUAUUCAUUGAAAACCUCAAGCAUCUCAUUUUUCUAAGAACCAUAGAACUCCCCAUCAAGAAUAGGCACUCUAUGUCUAAUACUCCCAAACGUAGACUCAUCCAUCUUCCUCCAAUAGCGAUUAAACCAAAGCAAUGGAGACCAAAGCCCUGAUACCAAUUGAAAGGAUAGAGAAGAGGGGUCUAGAGGGGGGUGAUUAGACCCUUAACAAGCAAAAGUGGCAAUUUUUAUUUUCUUCAAGUUAAGGUGGAGUUUAGCACAUAUUAAGGCACACACAAUACAUUUCAAGCAAGCAUGACAAGAGUUUAGGCAAAAGAAAGAGUAAAGCAUGCAAUUUGCAAGAAAGUAAAGGGAUGGGAUUGGAGUGUGCAAACGCAAUGGAGACACGGAAUUUUGUGUGUGGUUUCGAUAGGUGGUGUUAUCGUACGUCCACAUUGAUGGAGACUUCAACUCAUGAAGGGUAACAGUUGCACGAGUCCAUGGAGGGCCCCACCCACAAAGGGUCCACGAAGAAGCAACCUUGUCUAUCUCACCAUGGCCAUCGCCCACGAAGGACUUGCCUCACUUGGGUAGAUCUUCAUGAAGUAGGCGAUCUCCUUGCCAUUACAAACUUCUUGGUUCAACUCCACAUCACAACAAAGGCUCCCAAGCGACACCUAACCAAGAGACACCUCUCUCCAAAAGGUAAUAGAUGGUGUGUAGAUGAUGAACUACUUGAUCCUGUGCUUCAAAUGAUAGUCUCCCCAACACUCAACUCUCUCUCAUAUAUUUGACUAUGGUAGAAUAGGGAUUUGAGUAGAAAGCAACUUGGGAAAGGCUAGAAAUCAAGGUUCAAAAGGUUGGAAUGGAAUCUCUUGAUCUCAACACAUGAGUAGGUGGCUCUCUCUCAGAAAAUGGAUGGUGGAAGUGUAGGCACGUUCUGAUGGCUCUCUCUCUGAUGGAGGAGAGGGUGGAGGGGUAUAUAUAGCCUCCACACAAAAUCCAAGCGUUGCACACUUUCGACUCAUCUUAGUGGCACCGAUUAGGAAACUCAGUGGCUCUGAUCUGUUAAAAAAUAUGAACAUUAGGAAUCUCGGUGGGAUGGACUGGAACAACUCGGCGGGACCGAUGUGCUAGGGCUGAGGGAAAACAUCAUCUCGGUGGCGCCGAUUGCAUCAACUCGGUGAGACCAAAGUGAAGCAAUGAGCAACAUAGAAUCUGUCAAGCUAACUUGGUGAGACCGAUUGCAACAUCUCGGUGGGACCUAUAUAAUUACAACAAGUCAACAGAGAGUUUGCAAGGCCAUCUCAGUGGGACUGAGAUACGUAUCGGUGUGACCGAAUCAAUAGGGUUUCUAGUAGUGGCUAUGUCAAAUGAACUCGGUGGCUCCAGGUAGAAAGAAUCGGUGGGGCCGAGUUUGAGUUUAGGGUUUGGACAUAUUUGGAUGGAGAAAGUGGCUGAGGGUUUUGGAGCAAUAUCAGUAAGCACUUGAGCAAGUAGACCAUUAAGCAACACCUCAUCCCCUUUUAAUAGUAUUGGCUUUCCUAUGGACUCAAUGUGAUCUUGGAUAACUUAAAUAAAAAUUAAGAGUCUUGAGAUUUUGCCAAUCUUUGUCCUUAUCAUUUUGAAGGGGUUCCACAUCCUCUUGUCCUGCCCACUCCACUAUUGAACUUAUCUGAAACACACUAGAUAAAACUAUUAGUCCAACAAAAGAUAUGUUGACAUUAAUUACCAAAAUCACCCAGGGAGCACGUGUGCUUUCAACCUCCCCAAGGGUUGCCAAUUGUACGGUUUGGUGACCACCCUCAAGGGUCCCUUAGUGGAAUCACAACAUCUUUCAUUGUUCGAGGGUGCGAGGAGAUUGCGGUGGCCCUAGUGGCAUUUUGGGGAGCAUUGUGCUUCCACAUGGUCCAAAUGGAGAUUAGCAUCCGCAAGGGUGUGAACUUGGGGAUACAUGUCAUCUCCGCGUGCCUCGAUUAUCUCCUACCGGAGCCCUUUACAUAUGUGCUUUACUUUGUGAUAGCCAUAGUAUGACAUGUUAUAUAUCUUGCUAUCACUUAGUUGUUUAUCUUGCUUAGCAUAAGUUGUUGGUGCACAUAAGUGAGCCUAGUCAAUUUAGGUUUUGUGCUUGACAAAUUAAACACUAGUUUUAUUCCUCAUUUGUUCAAGCCUAAACCGUAAUUAUUUUAAAGCGCCUAUUCACCCCCUCUAGGCGACAUCCAUGAUCUUUCAACCUUCAUCACCAUCCCCCAUCUAUAAUCGGCGGUCCACUCUCCCGCAACCCGUUGUACCCCCUAAUUGAACGUGGUUCUUUAUGCUAUAUAGUAUCCAAUGAUUUGUUGCACCUCUAUUAUGUUUGAGUAGUUUCUUUUUAUCAUAUGGGUUGACUCUUGAUCAUGAUUGGUUUGAGUUGCAUGCUUUAUUUUGGUGUUUUCCUACGGUGCCCGCCAUGUCACGCAAGUGUGUGGGGUUGCCGCUGUAGGGUGUUGCAAUAUGUCAAUGAUUUUCUUAUAGUGGGUUGCAGGAGUGACCAAAACCUAAACCCGAGUUCGUGAGUUGUUGCGUAUGGGAUCAAGGGGACUUUUUUUUACUUAAUGAUACGGUUGGGUUUUACCUUAAUGAAGCUUUCGUAUUUGCGGAUGCUUGCUAGAGUUCCAACCAUAAUAACAUAUGGUCCAAGAAUGGAAAGUAUGUUAGCUUAGGCCUCUCCCGCAUAUAAAACUGCAAUAAUGAUUAUCUGUCUAGUUAUCAAUUCGCUAGGGAAAAUUCCGCACAUCUGACCACCACUUUUCCACACUCGCUAUAUUAACUUUAUUGUUCUUUCAUUAGAACAUCACUAACUCUUUAUUAUCUCACAAAGCUAUAUUUUUAUUGAUGCAAACUAGUUUAUUUCUUGUUCUAGGUAAAGCGAACAUUAGUGUGUGUAGAGUUAUAUCGGUGGUCGAUAGAACUUGAGAGAAUAUUAAUUCUACCUUUAGCUCCUCGCUGGGUUCGACACCCUUAUUUAUUGAAAAGGCUACAAAUGAUCCUCGAUACUUGUGGGUUAUCAGGGGCCUCUUCCCCUCUCUCCCGGUGGUGCCGGAGUGCCGCCUGGGGAACAAUCAUCGCGACGAUCGCCUCUAUCUACUUCAUCAUUGUCAUCAUCAUCUCCAUCACCUUCCUCCCUCUCUAUGCAAUGAUUUACUCUCACACAACCCGUUGUAAUCUCUACUUGAACUUGGUGUUUGGUGCUAUAUAUUAUUAUCCCAUGAUUUGUUACAUCUCUAUUAUGUCUGAGUAGUUUAUUUUUGUCCUAUGGGUUAACUGUGAUAUGCUAUGGUUGAUUGGAGUUGUAUGUUAUUAUGGUGAUGUCCUAUGGUGCCCAUCAUUUGCGCACAUGUGUGGGAUUAACAUUGCAGGGUGUUGCAAUAUGUGAUCGAUUUUCUUAUGUUGGGUUGCAGGAGUGAUACAAACCUAAACCCUAGUUUGUGAGUUGUUGCAUAUGGGAUUAAGAGGGACCUUAUAUCUUAAUGAUAUGGUUGGUUUUUUACCUUAAUGAAUCUUUUGUAUUUGCAGAUGCUUGCUAGAGUUCCAAUCAUAAGUAUUUGUAGUCAAUGGAUUUUGCUACAUGUUAGAGUAUGCCUCUCCCGCAUAAAAACUGUAAUAGAUGAUUAUCAUGUUAGUUUCAUACCCAAUUGCCCAGGGACAAUUCUUUACACUAUUGCUAUUUUACAAAUCAACAAACUAACAUUUAUUUAUAAGUACUUUAUUAUCUUGCAAAGCUAUAUUUUCAUACCGGCCAAGUAGAUUUAUUUCUUGUUUCUUGGUAAAGCAAAUGUUCGGUGUGAGUAGAGUUGUAUCAGUGGUUGAUAGAACUUGAGAGAAUACUAAUCCUACCUUUAGCUCCUUGCUGGGUUAGGCACUCUUACUUAUCGAAAAGGCUAUAAUAGAUCCCCUACACCUGUGGGUUAUCAUAGAUCGUCCAAGGAGCGUCAUCCUUGGGAGAUUUUGAGUGGCGCCUCCUGGGGUGGGAGCUCAAAUUGUCCCAACUUUUGGGUGUCCGAGCCGCCCAUGUUGUGAGAUGCGUUAGCAUGGCUUUUUCUGCGAUGUCCCGCUUUGACGGGAGAUCAUUUUCCCUUAUCGGCUGGGAGGCUGAUCUUGUCCACCGGGGUGCAGGUCUUUGGCCCACGUGUGUUUAGAAACCGCACUUACCUCACUGUGGUCUGCCACAACGUCCAAGUCCUUUAUCAGGCUCCUCCAUGCUUGGUUGGUACUCCCUCUAUAAAGAAAUAUAAGAGCAUUUAGAUCACUAAAAUAGUGAUCUAAAUGCUCUUAUAUUUGUUUAUAGAGGGAGUACCUUCCUAGUCGCCAUCUACCUCUUAUCUUUCAGAUCUUCCUCGAACUGGAGGACCUAUUGCUAGCAUUCUUCAACCACCUGAGCCUCUGCAAGAAACUCUUCAUUAUCCCUGAUGACCUUCUUGGACAACCUGAUUAGCCUCUCCUGACCUCCGUCAUGGCGCGGGAUGCCAAGUGAUUUGUUGCAGAUUUCCUCAUCAGAGGGAUCGAACUCACUGUUGGGUUCCCCUCGUGCUGUGACACAUCAGGCGGAGGACUCUUGGGGCCAUUGUCCUUGUUUCCUUUGGCAUCUCCAUUGUUAUCAUUGACAUUGUAAUCACCACCACCAUGUAGAUCUCGUAGGUAGAGGUCUCCUCCACUUGCUUGAGGGCACCUUCGCUGGUGGUCGGCUGUCCACAGACUCACCGAUCUCCUCUUCCAUGUGCUUGACCUCAUCGGUGUUUCCUUUGAGGAUGUAGGUAUGAUCUUCAACGUUGGUGAUGGGAUGGGUGGUGGGUGGGUGAAGAAAAUUGACUUCCUAUGAUAAAUCCAUGAUCCAAUUUAACAAUAAGAUCAGAGAUGUUGCGUCUACUACUCCUCGAUCCGGUGAGAAGCCAAGCCCGAGAAGAUUAGCUCUACUCGGAGAUCUGCGGUGUACUCCAUGUCAUUGAAUCUUACGAUCUAGUCUAGAUCAAAGGCCUCGACCUGGCCGAGAUCGCCUGUCGAGUUGGCGACAAGGGUGAUGCCACUAGAGACGAACAUUUGGCCUGACAUAAAGAUUGCACCGGAACCAAUCAGAGCAUUGAUCCCUACUCCCAUCACGACGCGAAGUCAUUCAGCUAGAAGGACCUGCAUGCAUGGCCACCAUUCCCGAAGCGAAAUCUGGCUGAUCCUUCGGUAGGGUAUCCUAGCUAGGCUAGUGACAUGAUAAGAUAGGCAAGGGAUCUUACCCAGGUUUGGGCUCUCUAGGGGAGAUAAUAUCUCCUGCUUGUGUUUUAUCACAUUGGAGUGUAUCGAGAGUACAAAGUACUGAGAGAUUGUAAGUUUUCUAUUUACAAGCCUGGUCCCUCGGUUUAUCUAGCAUAUUGGGGGGUCCUAGGGCACAUGGAUCCUAGUAGGCUACGUAUGAGGAGGUGUAAUCCGUCGUGUAUGCCAAGUCGUCUAGAACCUUCAUACGAUAUGCCAUACCUUCAUAUGAUAUGCCAUGGGCAGCCCAAAGUGGCCCAGGAUAGAACUGACAAGGGGUUCUCAGCCAGGCCCAUCAGGCCAAGUGACAUCAUGGUGAGAGGCUCCUUAGAUGGGACACCAACAUUAUGCAUGGGCCGAAACACGUAUUGGGUCCUAUGCAGCUCCAAAACUAUAUGGCUGAUAAUCCUACUAAACCUAACUGGGCCAAAAUCAACACGAGCCAUUCAUGGUCCGGUAUGUACCACAUGGCUUAAAUGGGCCCAAAAGCAUCACACGCCAUUACCAGGCCAAAAUAUAUGGUAGGGCUAAAACUACAAAUGGCCAUUAAUAGGCCGAAAUAACUUUAGACCAUAAUUGUCCCAAGCAUACCUCAGGCCAUUAACAAGCCAAAAGACAACUCGAGCAGUAAAUGAGACAAAAGAUACCACGACCCUUUAACUGGCUGAAAGUUAGAUCAGACCGGAAUUAUACCUAGGAAACCACGGGCCGUUAACAGGGUGAAAGGCACAUCAAACCAAAAUGAGCCCAUGUGUACCAUGGGUCGUUAGUAGGCCGAAAGGUACACCUGACUACAAAUGAGCCCAAGUCCACCAUGGCAGGCCGAAUGACAUAUCGGGCGACAAAUGUGCCCAAUUCCACAACGGGCUGCUAACAAGCUGAAAGACACACCAGGCGACAAAUUGACCCAAUUCCACCAUGGGCCACUGAUACAUCUCCAACGUAUCUAUAAUUUUUGAUUGUUCCAUGCUAUUAUUUUAUCUGUUUUGGAUGCUUUAUAUGCAUUAAUAUGCUAUUUUAUAUUAUUUUUGGGACUAAUUUAUUAACCUAGAGCCCAGUGCCAGUUUAUGUUUUUCCUUGUUUUUGAGUUUCGCAGAACAGGAAUACCAAACAGAAUGAAACCUUCAUGUUGACUUUUCUUGGACCAGAAGACAACCAGGAGACUUGGAGAUGAAGUCGGAGGAGCCAUGAGGCGUCCACAAGGAUGGAGGGCGCGCCCCCACCCUUGUGGGCCCCACAUGACCCUCCUGACCUAAUUCUUUUGCCUAUAUAUUUCCAAAUAUCCCCAAACCACCAUAAGGAUCCACGAAAACACUUUUCCACCACUGCAACCUUCUGUACCCGUGAGAUCCCAUCUAGGGAUCUUUUUCGGCACCCUGUCGGAGGGGGAUUCGAUCAUGGAGGGCUUCUACAUCAACCCUAUUGCCCUUCUGAUGAAGCAUGAUUAGUUUACCACAGACCUACGGGUCCAUAGCUAGUAGCUAGAUGGCUUAUUCUCUCUCUUUGAUUCUCAAUACCAUGUUCUCCUUGAUGUUCUUGGAGAUCUAUCCGAUGUAAUACUCUUUUGCGGUGUGUUUGCCGAGAUCCGAUGAAUUGUGGAUUUAUGAUCAACUUAUCUAUGAAUAUUAUUUGAAUCUUCUCUGAAUUCUUUUAUGCAUGAUUUGAUAUCUUUGUAAUGCUCUUUGAACUAUCAGUUUGGUUUGGCCAACUAGAUUGGUUUUUCUUGCAAUGGGAGAAGUGCUUAGCUUUGGGUUCAAUCUUGCGGACAGUAGUGGCAGCAAGGCACAUAUUGUAUUGUUGCCAUCGAGGAUAAAAAGAUGGGGUUUUCAUCAUACUGCUUGAGUUAAUUCCUCUACGUCAUGUCAUCUUACUUAAUGCGUUACUCCGUUCUUUAUGAACUUAAUACUCUUGAUGCAGGCAGGAGUCGGUCGAUAUGUGGAGUAAUAGUAGUAGAUGCAGAGUCGUUUAUGUCUACUUGACACGGACGUGAUGCCUAUAUUCAUGAUCAUUGCCUUAGAUAUCGUCAUAACUUUGCACUUUUCUAUCAAUUGCUUGGCAGUAAUUUGUUCACCCACCGUAUUAUUUGCUAUCUUGAGAGAAGCCUCUAGUGAAACCUAUGGCCCCCGGGUCUAUUUUCCAUCAUAUAAGUUUCCGAUCUACUAUUUUGCAAUCUUUUACUUUCUGAUCUAUAAACCAAAAAUAUUUACUUUAUCUUUUAUCUAUCUCUAUCAGAUUUCACUUUUGCAAGUAACCAUGAAGGGAUUGACAACCCCUUUAUCGCGUUGGGUGCAAGUUAAUUGUUUGAUUGUUUGUGUAGGUAUUAGGUGAUUUGUGCGUUGUCUCCUACUGGAUUGACACCUUGGUUCUCAAACCGAGGGAAAUACUUAUCUCUACUUUGCUGCAUCACCCUUUCCUCUUCAAGGGAAAAACCAACGCAAGCUCAAGAAGUAGUAGGCACUAACACCCUGAAACAAACAUCAGGCUGCAAAUUGGUCCCAGUGUAAAGACACACCAGGCUGUAAUUGGCCCCAAAGACACCAUGGGCCGUUAAUGGGCCAAAACUAUCAAAGGGCCUUGACGAAAACAUUUCCAUGACGUGUAAUCUUUCAUCAUAAAAGUGGACACAUUCAUGAUGAAAAAGUGAAUAGUGUCAUGGAACUCAUCCACGACAACACAUGUAUGACUAUCUUGAUUCUGUCAUUAAACCGUCACAGAUGUACAUGGGUGACAGAAAACGUGACCUACUGCGACAAAUAUGUAUCAUCAUGGAUGUGUCUUUUUUGUAGUGAAGAUAUCUAAGAGUCCUCUUAACCACCAAAUACUGUCUCUCCCUAGGAUUAGCUUGAUAUCCUACAACAUGUAUACACUCAACAUAAUAUCUAGUCUAGAUGUCCAAAGAUAAAUCAAAAACUCAAUCAUAGAAUGAUAUGCCUUUGGAUCGAAUGGUUUACCAUUGUUGUCUUAAUCAAGAUGCCACGUAGUCGGCAUAGGUGCCUGUCAUGGUUUGGCAUUUGUCAUAUCAAACUUCGUGAGAAUAUCUUCAAUAUACUUUGUUUGUGAGAGAAAGAUCACUUCUGGAUAUUGCUUGAUUUGAAAGCCAAGAAAGAACUUCAAUUGCCCCAUCAAUGACAUCUCAAACUUUUUGGCCAUGGUUUUCACCCUUGGGUCUCUUAGUGAAAAGAGUGGGAUUGAUUACCCCCAUCACAAAUUCUUCCUCGGCUAGAAACUCUUUAAGGUGAGCAUUCCAAACACGUGGAUCUUGCUUGAGAAUGUACAAUGCCUUGGGGAGUUUAUAGACGCGGUCCUUGUGGUGAUGAACCCGAGUGGUUGUGCAACAUAUACUUCCUCUUGUACAGGACCAUUAAGAAAUGCACUUUUCACAUCCAUUUAAUAUAAAGUAAAGGCAUUGAACGUGACAUAUGAAAACAAGACGCAAAUGGAUUCAAGAUGGGCAACAGGGAAAAAAUAUUUCACCAAAGUCCGAACCUUCAACUUGGGAGAAAACUUGUGCCACUUACCUUGCCCGAAGGAAUUAGGUGGAGGCAAUUGCUUUGAUAGUCAGUGUCGAAGGAGACCGAGAUAGGGUAGCGGUUGCAAAUCUAGCACCGCAUGUCCUGUUCAUGGGUUGGGGAUAGUUUUGGGGGUGAUGUGAGAAUUUGGUUUGGGAGGUUUCUUUGGGGGGAUGGGAGGUAGUAGGGGUAGGCCAUGCAUGUAAUGUGGUAUUUUUCUUCUAAUUUUUCCAAGUAGGAGUGCAUGUAACUGGAAAUAAGCUGGCAUGCUCUAACAAGCCUAAAACAAGCUUGCUGCAGGAACAAAAAGUCAGAGCCAAAGGCUAUCCAAGUACCACCUUAAUUAAAAAAUUGAGGUCAUGUACAUUGUAUAUGAACAUUUAUUGCAUGACACAUGAUAUCUCUACUAUUAAAGGGGAAUAGGUCGUUUGCUUCCUUGCCUCUAGUUUUUUUCAUCCUUCGAGUCCAACCGUCCCACCGAUUUGUCUUCAACUUUAGUAGCCCGACAUCACAUCUCCUUCCUUUAGUAAUAUGAAAAUUAAUCCUUUUUCAUUUGGCAAAUUGGAAACGUAGUAACCCCACUGAUUAUUGUCCAAUUUUAUUUGCCAAACACCACAUCUCCCAUCAAUUUGCAUCCCCUCCUACUGAUUUAUUUCCAAACUUAUUUGCCCGACAUCACAUCUCCUUUCAUCAAUAAUAUGGAAACUAAUUCUUUUUUCACUUUGGCACAUGGAAAAUGUAGUACUUCCACUUAUUUAGUUCCAAUUUUAUUUUUCCAAAGUGGAAGGGGUACUGUGAGCGGAUGAGCCAUUGACAUAGGUGGUGAGAUUGGAUUAGUGAGACGGAGAUAGUGGGUGGAAGGUAUACAGAAGACACAAAAUCAAUAAAAUAUGUAUGCCCCCGUUGUAACGGCACGGACAAUAGCUAGUCAUCACACAAUUUUCCAACAUCAUCAUCAUCAUUGUUGUUGUUAUUGUUGUGAUGAAUUUGUGAUGCUAGACUUAAUGUAUUCCUUUGAGUUUGUACACUGAAAGAUAAUUCUCGUGAUGACCAAGUCUCCAUAUCAAAAACCUCUAUUCAUUGGCGGGAUCAACCCCAUCCCCCGCGUUGUCCUCCUCUAGGGCGACUCGGGCAGUAGUGAAUCCACACCCACUCAAGACCUCAUCCCCUGUGCUCCCCCUCCCCUUGCCACCGGCCCAUGGUCUUCACCGGGCAAAUCUCACGCGGAUCCGGUGGCAGCAGGGCUCUGGCGUCCUUGGGUCGCUGCCAUCGAGUUGGGGGCUUUUGCGGCGGCUGACAGCACUGCGCUCCUCUGCGCAGGUCGCAGGUGCUUGCAGGUGGCGAGAGGACAGUGGUGGAUGCACGUGUGUUCCAGUGCAUGGAGGUGCCGACCCCCCCCCCCCAGAUCUGAUAUGGAUCUGGGUGGGUUGGUGCUCGGCCCAUGGCUGCGAUUAGGCGGUGACGAGCUGGAUCAGGGCGGUGCGGGGGCCUGCCGUCGUGAUAAUAAAGGUGGCGGUCCUCUUGCUCCUCUCGCAUCACGACAACAUCCUACAUGGUCGGUUCUCCUGGAUCUAGUCAUCGACGUGUUCCGGAACUGCUGUCGGAGAUCUUGCCCAAGAUAUUUGGAUCGAGAAUUUGGUUGUGCACGCCCAUUUCAGCGUACGAGGUUCCAUGAGGGCGUGACACGAAGCUCUGUUGUUCGUUGACACCAUGGGACAUGUUGGCUUCUCGAUUUCUGUGGUGUAAACAACUGUGGAGAAGGUCAUGGUGGCUGAGAUCGGAGAAUCAGUUAGACAGACGGCGUCUUCGAGGCGAUGGAGUCACCCAGGUGUUUCAUAACUCUCAGGACCAGCAGGGUCAAGUGGGGGUGGUAGCACCGGAGGAUUCAUUUUUGGUGGUGCUCCUCAGGUGCUGAGCCUUCAGGGUGAAAAACUAAGGUCUGGCCUUCACUGGUUGUGCCUGGCAAUUGCCUUGCAGAAGGAAUUGUUCUGAGAGCUCAGACUUCUCCAGGGUGAAAACCUAAGAUUUUGGAUCAGGCAACAACAGCGCUUGUGCAUUGUUUCCUUCUUGAAGGCGUUGCUUUUGAAGACCUUUUAUAUUUUUCGUGUGCUGUAUCUUGUGAUGGUUUUUGUGCGCUGAUGAGAGGAGUUGAUCACUAUGGUGGGAUCUUUUUUUUCCUUUGGCUUUGUGUAUCCUGUAUGUCUUUGAGACAUCUUAUAUGUGCAAAGGCUGAGUGUAAUAGGUAUCUUCGCGAUAUUAAUAUAUUCUUGAAAAAACAGUGAAAUAUAAUUCUACGUGGGAGCAUCAAGUAGUAGAAGCAUCUUAUUUUUGAAUAAAAAACGGAGAUUACAAAUGGUGACCAAAUUCGACCGGUUAUCACAGUGACACAACCAUCUCACGAACUAUCUGCGCUGAGACUCGAGACCGUCAUGACUUCAUAGGCGGCAUACUGACCGUGUGAGAUGAAGGAAGCCGUGUUUGCCAUGCACUAUUAAUCUGGUAGCGUACCUAAUGCGGAUGCCCUUUCACAAUAUAAUUACCUCUAGUUUCCCUCAAAGAAAAAUUACCUCUAGUUAGUAGGAGUAGCAAUGCUGAUACAUCUCACUGUCUCGCCAUAUAUACGGUACGGCAAACCUAGAGAAUAAUGCAAAUUGGCUUGAGUGCAAGUAGCCAGGAAGGAGUAGGACCAGCAGCAUGGCACACGGCCGUUGAUUCUAUGGUGCAGAGGAUAAGGUGCGCAGACAUGUGGUUAUUUAUCCCGACCUUAUCUGGACGCCGGUGAUGCGCGGGGGCUAAUCGCCGCUGUGGAACGGCAGCCACUCCUUCCACAUCUUGUUGUUGCUCAGGAAGGGCCAAAGGGUUAUAUAAGCCGCUGCUGACCCAACGCAGCAGUCCUCAAGCCAGAGUGCCUCCUCCUAGCAAGCUAUAUACCUACAUAGUACAGCCAUGGCCCCCACCGUGAUGGCCUCGUCGGCCACCUCCGUCGCUCCUUUCCAGGGGCUCAAGUCCACCGCCGGCCUCCCCGUCAGCCGCCGCUCCAACGGCGCUAGCCUCGGCAGCGUCAGCAACGGUGGAAGGAUCAGGUGCAUGCAGGUAAACAACAUCGUCUCUGUCUUUCUACUCAUUUUCUACCUCACGGAAGACAAUAACAAUCAUAUGUGAACUUUCAUAUGGUCAAUUACAUACAAUAGUUUCAAAUCCCGACGUCAAUCAGCACACAAUUUAGCCGGCUUCUCCAUCUGAUAUGUGCAGAACUAGAGUUAUAGUCUGUUAAUGUAUACAUGACUGUCAAUCUGAUUUGCAGGUGUGGCCCAUCGAGGGCAUCAAGAAGUUCGAGACCCUGUCUUACCUGCCACCGCUCAGCACGGAGGCCCUCCUCAAGCAGGUCGACUACCUGAUCCGCUCCAAGUGGGUGCCUUGCCUCGAGUUCAGCAAGGUUGGGUUCAUCUUCCGUGAGCACAACGCAUCUCCUGGGUACUACGAUGGCCGGUAUUGGACAAUGUGGAAGCUGCCUAUGUUCGGGUGCACUGACGCCACACAGGUGAUCAACGAGGUGGAGGAGGUCAAGAAGGAGUACCCUGACGCGUAUGUCCGCAUCAUCGGAUUCGACAACAUGCGUCAGGUGCAGUGCGUCAGCUUCAUCGCCUUCAAGCCACCGGGCUGCGAGGAGUCCGGCAAGGCCUAAACAGCUCACUCACGACAGGCCAUAUAUAAAGUGCCAUUGCAGUUUUGUCAACUCUGACAUUGCUUUGGGUUUUCCUUCUCCAUUUAUCUUUCUUAUUUGUUCCUAAGAAUAUGUGUAUGUCCAUGUUCAUGUACCAACAUGGCUCGAGAAAGCAUGCUCGUAUGUGAAUGCUAUCGGUGGCUAUGUAUAUGCACGGACGCAUAAUAUUAUACAAUAUGUCAACUAUAUACGUUUUAAUGGUAACCAAUGGAAAAUAUCUCCACCGCCGUGCUUAUUACUUCCUUCAUCCCAAAAUAAUUGUCUUAACCUUGGUAUAACUUUAUACUAGAACUAAUUCAAAGUUAAGACACUUAUUUUGAAACAGAGUGAGUACUUUUUAUUAGUAGUCGACGGUUGGACGUUGUCUUAGUUUGUAUCCCUAAAAUGUAUGGUUGUAAACAUGGCUCCCCAGAAUGUUGGACAACAAUAUUUUAUUAGUUGUAUUUAUAAGUGCAACAUAGGACUAAAUCUCAGGCCAUAGUAUAAUUAAAGGGAAAAUGAGAAAGUUGUAUUGAAUUUGGUGCAAAGAUGAAAUUAUUACAGUGGGCUCUAAUAAUUUUUAGAGUGUGAAGCAAAUGAAGUUAGAGAAAAACAAGAUCUAUCAAAGGAAACCGGUUAUUUCAUUUAUCCGGUAAAAAGUCUAUAAUAGAAGUGUUGUAUAAAUGGUUUGUAUACUCUUGUUGUGUCUCGUAAGGCAUUGGUUGUGGUUUUCUUGCUUAUAAGCCAGAAGCCAAACCAAACAUCAAAACCGCUAAAUGUGCUUUAAUAUUAACAAGCCACCUAGAAAACUAGUGAAGUGGUGAAAUUAAUCUCAGAGAUCGUUUUGUUGCUUUUGAGGCCAGGUAUUCGAGUUUAUUCCCCAAGUUGAUAGUUAUUUAGUCACCAAUUCCUUGGGUAUGAAAAAAAAGAACCCUCCCAAUAUCUCCCAUGCAUGCCCACGUAUCGUGCCCCUAUCGCAUCUCUUGAAUGAUUAAAGUUGCGGCGGUGCUACCUUGUUUGUGGCCAUCGGUAUUCUUCCCUCGUCACCGCCUGAGCACUCGCCCGCCAUCAAUGUCAGACGUCGCCUUCAUCACACCAUCCUUCGUCAUCACCCUUUCGACUUCUUUCGCGAUGUUUCCCUAUCAUGUUAUCAUCCUCUAGACACUCGUAAGGGCUAAGGACACGAGCGCUACUUUGGGGAUCCUACUGCCAUGGGAGAUAUGAUCCUAGUAAUUGUGUGAUCACCUGAUCGUGUUGUAUCCCAUGAAGAUAGCUACCAAAUUACCGGCCCCGGUAUGCCUUUAUAAGGGCUGACAAGAGCCUCGUCGGUGGGACAAGGUCAUGGAGGAGCACAUAUCUGUAACUGUCGGCCCAGUUGAAAGAACAUGCGGUGCGCCCAUGUUUGGUUUUGGUAAUUAAUGACAAUCUCUAUGGACUAAUGGUUUCCUUGAGUUAUAUUUGAAGGAUUUGUCCAUAGGCAUUUCUUGAAGUCCAUGGGUUGGUAUCAAGGAGUUUAUGUGACCACCAAAGCGCUAUUCAAGCAAUUAUCCAAAGAUUGGUCAUGUAGAUGACAUGAUACAAGGUUAAUCAAGACCAAGUCAAAGAGUGAAUCAAGUUGAUCAACACACAAAGCAUAAAAGAUGUUCCAAGUGGGACCAACGGAUCCCAUGGUAUGGUAAGCAUUGUCCAUUACGCUUUGUAUACUAACCCAUGGUCUACAUGAGACUUCUAUGUGUGGUUAGGCAUGUUUCCAAGGGCUUGUGUCAAGAGAAAGAUCUCAUACAACCCAUGGAGGAUGACAUCAAGUGAUGAUCGUCAUUAAGAUUGCCGUGUGCAAAUUCAGUGGAGCAUCACGAAGAGAUCAUGCUUGAAGCUUGCUGCCCAUUGUGGUGACAACGGACUUGUGAAGAUGUGUGAUACGUCUCCAACGUAUCUAUAAUUUUUGAUUGUUCCAUGCUAUUAUAUUAUCUGUUUUGGAUGUUUUAUAUGCAUUAAUAUGUUAUUUUAUAUGAUUUUUCAGACAACCCUAUUAACCUAGAGCCUAGUGCCAGUUUCUGUUUUUUCCUUAUUUUAGAGUUUCGCAGAAAAGGAAUACCAAAUGGAGUCCAAACGGAAUGAAACUUUCACGAUGAUUUUUCUUGGACCAUAAGACAUCCAGAGGACUUGGAGUGCACGUCAGGGCAGCCACGAGGUGGCCACAAGGUCGGAGAGCGCGCCCCCACCCUUGUGGGCCACUCUUGACUCCAUCGACCUAUUUCUUGCGCCUAUAUAUUCUAAAAUAUUCCAAAACCUACCAGGAGAGCCACGAAAACACUUUUCCAUCGCCGUAACCUUCUGUACCCGUCAGAUCCCAUCUAGGGGCCUUUUCUGGCGUCCUGCCGAAGGGGGAUUUGAUCACGGAGAGCUUUUACAUCAACACCAUUGCCUCUCCGAUGAAGCGUGAGUAGUUUGCCAUAGACCUGCGGGUCCAUAGCUAGUAGCUAGAUGGACUCUUCUCUCUCUUUGAUUCUCAAUACCAUGUUAUCCUCGAUGUUCUUGGAGAUCUAUUCGAUGUAAUACUAUCUUUGCUGUAUGUUUGCCGAGAUCCGAUGAAUUGUGGAUUUAUGAUCAGCUUAUCUAUGAAUAUUAUUUGAAUCUUCUCUGAAUUGUUAUAUGCAUGAUUUGAUAUCUUUGCAAGUCUCUUCGAACUAUCGAUUUGGUUUGGCCAACUAGAUUGGGUUUUCUUGCAAUGGGAGAAGUGCUUAGCUUUGGGUUCAAUCUUGUGGUGUCCUUUCCCAAUGACAGUAGGGGCAGCAAGGCGCAUAUUGUAUUGUUGCCAUCGAGGAUAAUAAGAUGGGGUUUUCAUCAUAUUGUCUGAGUUUAUCCCACUACAUCAUGUCAUUUUUCUUAAAGCGUUACUCUGUUCUUAUGAAUUUAAUACUAUAGAUGCAGGCAGGAGUCGGUCGAUGUGUGGAGUAAUAGUAGUAGAUGCAGGCAGGAGUCGGUCUACUUGAUAUGGACGUGAUGCCUAUAUUCAUGAUCAUUGCCUUAGAUAUCGUCAUAACUUUGCGCUUUUCUAUCAAUUUCUCAGCAGUAAUUUGUUUACCCAUUGUAAUAAUUUCUAUCUUGAGAGAAGCCUCUAGUGAAACCUAUGGCCCCCGGGUCUAUUUUCCAUCAUAUAAGUUUCUGAUCUACAAUUUUAGUUUCCUAUUUACUUCCUUUGCAAUCUUUUACUUUCUGUUCCAUAAACCAAAAAUACCAAAAAUAUUACUUUACCGUUUAUCCAUCUCUAUCAGAUCCCACUUUGCAAAUAACCAUGAAGGGAUUGACAACCCCUUUGUCGCGUUGGGUGCAAGUUGGUGUUUGUUUGUGCAGGUAUUCGAUGACUUGUGCGUUGUCUUCUACUGGAUUAAUACCUUGGUUCUUAAAAUUGAGGGAAAUACUUACUCUACUUUGUUGCAUCACCCUUUCCUCUUCAAGGGAAAAACCAACGCAAGCUUAAGAGGUAGCAGGCAGAAUUUCUGGCGCCGUUGUUGGGGAGAUUUAGGCCAAGUCAAGUCAAGAUUUUUCUCCCGUCAACUUGCCAAUUCCUGGCACUGGUUCCGGGGAGAUCUACGCCAAGACAAGACAUACGAAGUACCCAUCAUAAACUCUCAUCCCUUGCAUUACAUUAUUCGCCAUUCGCCUCUCGUUUUCCUCUCCGCCACUUCUAAAAUGAUUUUCGAAAAGAUUUGCCCUUUUCUUCGCCCGUCUUUCGUUCGAUCUUAUGUUCGCUUGUGUUGCCAUGUGCCUUCUAUUUGCUUGCAUCUUCGCUUGCUAAAAAUCUAUCGAUAUGGAUCCUCAUCCACUUGCUAAUAUUUUUAAGAGAUCCAAUUAUGAUGAACCAGUUGCUAGUGAGUUGAGUGCACUAGCUUAUCUUUAUGAGGUUUUGCUUGAAAUUCAUGAAUCUGAAAAUUGGGAUGAAGUGUUGAAAGAAGAAAUUUAUGAAGUGAUUCACGAUAGCUCCUUGAAUGAAAAGCAUGAUUGAAAUGAUGCUAUUAUAAUUUCCAUUACUAUCAAUUGUGUUAAUGAUAUGAAAAACCCUAAGCUUGGGGAUGCUAGUUUUUCCAUGUCCACUAUUUGUUGCAAUGAUCAUGAUUGGGGUGAUUCUUCUUAUAACCUUGAAAAUUUAUUUAAGCCCCAUGAUGAAUAUGAGAUUGAUAAUAAUGUUUUCAAUAAUACUGAAAGUGGGUUUGGAAGAGUGUCAACUCUAGAUCCCACGUAUUUGGAUAAUGUUCAAUCUUAUGAAGUUUUUGAUAAAAGUGGGUUCAGAGAGGGCAUGACUUUAUUUUAUGAUAAUCCCACUAUUUUGGAAUAGUGUCAACUUUGCAUGCAUGUGGAUCAUGAAGAGAAAAUUUUAUGUGAUAGCUAUAUUGUUGAAUUUGAUUAUGAUCCUGCAUGUAAUUAUUAUGAGAGAGUAAAAUAUGGUUGUAGAAAUUCUCAUGUUAUUGAAUUACCUCUCGUUAUGUCGAGAUUGCUAUUAUUUCUUUCUUGUUCCUUGCAUAUGCUAGUUUUUGCUUACAUUGAUAAUUUGUUUGCCUAUAGGAUGCCUAUGCAUAGGAAGUAUGUUAGACUUAGAUGUAUUUUCCACAUGCUAUUUGAUGCUCUCUCCGUGUUUCAAUUGCUAUCUUUCAUGUGAGCAUCAUCGAAAUUAUCAAUGCCUAGCUAAAAGGCUUUAAAGAAAAGCGUUUAUUGGGAGACAACCCAAUAUAUUUCCUUGUUGUUUUGCAACAAAUAAUUCAUCUAGCCACUGGUUAGAUGUGGUUUGGUGUUUUAAUUAGUGUUUGUGCCAAUUAAGACCUUUGGGAUAGCUUACGGUGAUAGUUGAUUUGAUCUUGUUGAAAAACAGAAACUUUUACACUCAGGAAAACAAUUCUCAUUUUUAGCAGAAGAGUGAUAAAAUACUGAUUAUUUUUGCAGAUGAUUAAUAAAUAAAUUUCUUAGUUCUUCCUAAUUUCUCAUAAUUUUUGGAGUUACAGAAGUAUUCGAAAUCUCCAGAUUGCUACAGACUGUUCUGUUUUUAACAUAUUCUAUUUUCUAUAUGUUGUUUGCUUAUUUUGAUGAAUCUAUGGCUAGUAUCGGGUGGUAUGAACCAUGGAAAAAUUAAAAUACAGUAGAUAUUACACCAAUACAAAUAAUCAAUUAGUUCACAACAAUACCAAAAGUGGUGAUUUAUUUUCUUAUACUAACGGAGCUUAUGAGAUUUUUUGUUAAGUUUUGUGUUGUGAAGUUUUUAAGUUUUGGGUAAGGAUUUGAUGGACUAUGGAAUAAGGAGUUGCAAGAGCCUAAGCUUAGGGAUUUUGUAACAUCCCAAAUUUUCAAUUUGGAAUGUUAUACAUUAGAUCAUCAUUGCAUAUCAUAUUUUAUUGCAUUUUGGCUAGAUCCUAAAAAUCCUACGCAACUCAAGGACCCAUGGAGAGAGUUGAGGAUUUCGUUAUUUUCAUAUUUGGGUUUUCUCAAAUUUUGAAAAUAGGAUCAUUUGAUUUGAUUUAUUUUAUCUUCAGUUAUUUCAAUUAUAAAAAUAAGAGAGAGGGAAUAAAAUGGCUUUCCCAAAAUAAAGAAAUAUUGAGGAUUUAAUAAAAAAAAUCAAAUAAGAUUUUAUUUCGGAGUUUUCUCGCUAUUUUAUUUGAAUUAGGAAAAAAAUACGCGUUUUUCAAAAUUGCGUUUAGGCCCCAAAUAAAUGUUCAUCUUGGCCGGCUUGAUUUUAGAAGUCGGGGAAAAUUUAUUUCAGGAUUUUUGGAGUCCGUUUAGUAUUUCUUUUAUUUGUUUUUCUGUGCAAAAUUAUUAUAAAAAAACAAACGAACCGACCUAACCGGGCCGUGUCCAACUAGGACUCUGGCCCGGCCGGCCCUUAUAAGCCGGGGAGGCCACCCCGUAGCCCAGCCCGAACCGCCCCGCCGCCCCAAACCCUAGCGCCGCAGCCCGUCGCCCGCCGCUGCCACCCGUCGUCCCGCCAUCGCCCACCGCCGCCGCCCGUCGUCCCGCCGUCGUCCGUCGCCNNNNNNNNNNNNNNNNNNNNNNNNNNNNNNNNNNNNNNNNNNNNNNNNNNNNNNNNNNNNNNNNNNNNNNNNNNNNNNNNNNNNNNNNNNNNNNNNNNNNNNNNNNNNNNNNNNNNNNNNNNNNNNNNNNNNNNNNNNNNNNNNNNNNNNNNNNNNNNNNNNNNNNNNNNNNNNNNNNNNNNNNNNNNNNNNNNNNNNNNNNNNNNNNNNNNNNNNNNNNNNNNNNNNNNNNNNNNNNNNNNNNNNNNNNNNNNNNNNNNNNNNNNNNNNNNNNNNNNNNNNNNNNNNNNNNNNNNNNNNNNNNNNNNNNNNNNNNNNNNNNNNNNNNNNNNNNNNNNNNNNNNNNNNNNNNNNNNNNNNNNNNNNNNNNNNNNNNNNNNNNNNNNNNNNNNNNNNNNNNNNNNNNNNNNNNNNNNNNNNGCCGACCCCGCCGCCCGACGCCGGAGCCGCCCCGCCGCCACCGUCCUGCCGCGGAGGUUGACCACCGCCGCCGCCGCCGAUUUCCUCGAGAAAAUCGUCCGGUUUUCGUUCGUUUUUUUAAAAAAACUAGAUCUGUUUUUUAUAUAGAUCGGUUUUUUUCCGGUUUUGUUUAUUUAGCCAACGCCCGUUCGUUCGUUUUAACGAACGGUUUUCGUCUUUUAGCCGCAGUUAGCGAACGUUCAUUCGUUAGCCUGUUCGUCCGUUUUUCUUUUUCUCGGAUUUUCCGCGAUUAUUUCUGAUCGUGAUUUUCGAUCUGUUUUUCGUUUUAGUAUAACUUUUCGCUCGUUUAUCGAAAUCAGGAGAUUCAAGCGCCUAGAGUUUCGUAUCGAAACCCUCUUUCAGUUUAACCAACUCAAACAAGUUUUUGCUUCUGUAAAAUUUGACUUAGGUCCAGAUUAGUAAACAAACCCUGUUUCUUUCGCCGUUUGACUUUCGUUGUUUCGUUUGAAUUGUUUCUUUUUGCAAACCGGAGUUCUUAAGUUGAAUUUUCUGGUUAGAUCUCUUAUUUGAGUUUUACCUGUGCAUUAGAUGAGUGCUUAUUGUGUGCUUGUUUGUUUGCGAUAGAGUACCCGGAGUGCGCCGCUUGCUACUUCGAAUCUCUAGGUUUCACGGGUCAUCAGCAAGGCAAGUAACACUUUGAUCAUACCUCUUACUACCAAGUUUUAUUGCAUUAGAUAAAUCCUCAAACAAUUGCAUGGUUAGGAUCUGAAUUAAAUUGUGGGUUUGGGAAGUAGAUGAGGUAGUACCUAUUCACGUGUUUAUUAUCAAACCCCGGGAGUUACUUCUACGUUAUGCUUAUAUUGCUAUGUUAUGCUCGUAGACGUGGUUUGGGUUUGAGUGUAUUCAUGACAGAUGUGAGAUUGUUUAAUUAAUGGUUAACUUAAGGUGGCAACUCUAAUACACAUCUGGGUGGAUUGAGGCACCUGGGUAUUCCAGCGAUUGCCUGUUUUUCUUUAUGGACCGCCACCCAGGCUCAAAGGGAUCAUGAGAUUAUUCAUACUAGAAACUUCCGUGUGCAGCCACAAGCUACUAUGGGCUCUAGCAUAGUUGAUUAAGUCGUGCGAACUCUUACAGUGGUAGACUAGCAGAUGUAGGGGAAAGUAGGUGUAACGGUCUACCCGAUCGUAAGGUGCUAGCGCUUCUGAAAAACUAUGUCUCGAUCAUCCGUUUCUCAAACUCCAUGUAGUGCGAGAAUCCCAACGGAGGAGAUUGAGUCUUGUGGGGAAAAGUGCGCAAACAUCUGCAGAGUGUAUAAACUAAUCAUGGUUAGCCGUGUCCCCGGUUAUGGACAACUUGAGUAUCUAGUACUUGGAUUAUCAUGUGAAUCUCAUCAUGUGACUUUAAUUAAUUUUGUUGGGUUUUAAUGAUGAUGUUUAAUUGGGAUUGAGAGGGUGUCUACGCUCUCAAUGUUUAACAACCACCAUGAUAGUUAAAUAAAUUUAUUCCUUUAAAGUGGGGAAAAACUGGCUUUACGCAAAACUGUAACCAUAGAGCUUUCCACCAGCCAUAUAUGCAUGUAGUAUAGCCUAUUCUGUUCACUACUCUCUAUGUGUUACAUUGCCAGCAUAUUCCAUGUGCUGACCCGUUUUCGGGCUGCAACAUUCAUGUUGCAGACUUUUCAGACGACGAAUAAGGAGCCUUAGGUCGUGGUUCUAUGCUCAGUGAUGCCGUUGGAGUUGAUGGACUCACUUAUCUUCCAAGCCUUCCGCUAUUAUCGUUAUUAGAUGGCCUUACGCCAUAUUAUUUGUAAUAAGUUCUCUUUUGAGACAUUCGAUGUAAUAAGUGUGUGAUUGCUACUCUGUUAUAAAUCCUUCAAGUACUGUGCGUGUCAGCAUUAUUGAUCCAGGGAUGACACUGAAGCACAGAGAUCACACUGUUUGAGGUCUAAUCGCUACAAGAUGGUAUCAGAGCACACGCUAACUGUAGGACACGACCACUAAGAUAAAGACCUAGAUCACUACUCUCUUCUCAUUUCUGACUCCUCAUCUUUUCUACUCUUUUAGGAUGGCAGAUGCAAGGAACAAGUUCACGCAACCGAAUGAAGAUACACCCUUUGGACACCACCUGAAGGAAGUCACUAAGUACCUGAACAUCAGAGUACCAAGCUUCACCGGGACCUACAACGCCACUUUACCCAAGGAGGAGCGCUGGAUGAUUCAAGUUCAAGUUCCUGGAAGGAUGUUCGCGCCAGUCACCGAGCCCAUAGAGUUUUCCUUUGAUGCACCAACCUGGAGUCUAGGAAAGAGCAUGGAUGCCCACAUUACCAUGGGACGUAUUGGAGAAGUUUACCGCAAUGAUCUCAAGGAUACUAUCUAUCAGAUUUGUGGGCGCCGAGAUGAGAAAUGGGAGAUGAUCAGCAUCAGGAAGGAUAGAUCAAUCGCAGCUUUUAUCCAAGAGUUAAAUCAGCACAUUCGACAUCAGGAGAACCAGAUGUGCGCAGGCAUGAUAGAUCUGAAGAAGGCAAUGACAAGAAUCACGGAGCUGGAGGAAGAACUCAAAGCUACACGCGAAGAUUAUAUGGAGGAAAUCAAAGUAUUAGUGGAGAAGAAUGACGACCUGACUAGGAAUCUAGGAGUUUUCAUGGGAGAUCCCGCGCCAGGAGGAGAAGAUGACGAUUCCACUUGCCCAGAGAACUACAUCAUCAUCGACGACACCGACUCAGACCCAGAUGACAGCGAUGAUGACUAUGUUGAUGAAGCUGGAGCGGAUAUCAUGGAGUCUUCAUCGGAGCAGUUUUUCUAGUAGACCACCAUAACAGUAGUAGUAUUCCACCAUAUAUAUAGCAUAGUCCAAGUACUUUUAUAACGAUAGUUCUAGACCGAUUGUAUGCCCUUGUUUGAAUUGAAUGAAGUGAUUUUGUUUGCAUUUGCCUCAUGUGCAUAUGGGUAGUGUUUUCCCUCUAGACCUCAAUCUAUUCUAUAUUCUCAUCUUUUCUAAACCCUCGGAUGCCUCCAAGAUGUGACAAUGGAUUUGCUUUCCCAUCGGAGCUCACUCAGUUGAUCCAGCAGCAGAAUGCAUUGGUGCAGUUGCUAGUCCAGAAUUAGAAUCAGGGGAACAACAACAACAACAACCAACCACACCACCUGUUGAUCACUUAACCCGUUUCCUUAGACUGAAUCCGCCGGUGUUCUCCAGUAGCACCGAGCCGAUAGUGGCAGAUGAUUGGCUCUGCAAGACAGGGAGGGAAUUGACCACAACAGGAUGCACAUAUGCGGAAAAGGUGCGUUUUGCCGCACAUCAGCUUUAAGGACCCGCAUCAUCAUGGUGGGAGAAUUUCACAUCCACUUAUCCUAUCGACACUGUCACAUGGGAUCGGUUUCAGCAGGCUUUCCGUACUGCCCAUGUUUCAGCAGGAGCUAUGGCCAUGAAGAAGCGUGAGUUUCCCAACUUGCACCAAGGAGGACGGACAGUUGGCCAAUAUGUGGAUGACUUUAGUAAGUUAGCACGUUAUGCCCCGGAUGACGUUGCUACGGAUGCAGCUAAGCAGGAGAAAUUUCUGGAAGGACUGAAUGAUGAGUUGAGCAUGCAGUUGAUGGUAGCAACUUUCAACAACUACUAGGAGUUGGUAGAUCGUGCUCUUAUGAUUGAAGGGAAGCAGCAACAGAUUGAGAACCGCAAGAGGAAGUAUGGAUAAGGGAAAUACAAUUCAGGAGCUCAGCAGAAGCCACGUUUUACCCCGAAAUCGGGAGGACAUUUUCAGCAUACCCAUGGAGGAGGGAGUUCGCAUAAUCAUAAUGGCCCCAAGAAUGGUAAUGGGAAUGGGGGAAGCAACGGUCAGAAUCGUACCAACCCAUCAACCCCAGCCAAGAGAGACUUGAGCCAAGUCACUUGUUAUAAGUGUUAGAAGACCGGGCAUUAUGCCAAUGAAUGUCCUGAAGCCCAGAAUGGAAAUGGCAAUGGAAGCUCAGGGAAGAAACCAAACCCUUUCAACAGGGGACAGGUGAACCACAUUAACAUGGAAAAGGUUGAAGCCCAGCCAGAUGCAACAAUAGGUAAGUUUUUGGUUAAGUCAUUUACUGCAAUCGUUCUUUUUGAUACUGGGGCAUCGCAUUCAUACAUAUCAAGGGGAUUUGUGGAUAAGUAUAAACUACCCACCAAGGUUCUUAAAACACCUAUGUUAGUAAGCUCACCAGGAGCGGAGUAUAUGGCCAGUAGAGGAUGUUUUCAAGUGCCAUUGAGUAUAGGUAGACAUGUGUUUCCCUCGGGUUUAAUCAUUAUGGAAUCGCAAGGUUUGGAUGUAAUUCUGGGUAUGGAUUGGCUAUCGAUGUGUGGAGGAAACAUCGAUUGCGCCAAUAAGUCGAUUUUGCUUACCACCCCAGAGGGAAGAAGGAUCAAGUAUGUAUCACGGCAUGUGCCGAAUAGGACUCAAGUAAAUUCCUUAACAGGAGUUGUGUGGGAGGAAGUAUCGGUGGUAAAGGAUUUUACAGAUGUAUUUCCAAAAGAGUUGCCAGGCAUGCCACCGGAUAGAGACAUUGAGUUUUUGAUUGAGCUUUUGCCAGGCACAUGGCCAAUAUCUAAGAGACCAUACAGAAUGCAUGCAAAGGAUUUGGAGGAGAUUAAGAAGCAAAUUAAGGAGUUACUGGAUAAGGGUUAUAUUCGCCCAAGUUCGUCACCUUGGGGAUCAACAGUACUUCUAGUGGAAAAGGAGGAUGGAUCAUUAAGGAUGGUUGUUGAUUAUCGAGGAUUGAAUGAAGUGACGAUCAAGAAUAAGUACCCACUGCCAAUGACUAAUGAUUUGUUUGACCAAUUGCAAGGAGCUAAGGUAUUUUCCAAGAUCGAUUUGCGAUCAGGAUACCACCAGUUGAAGAUUCGAGAGCAGGACAUACCUAAGACAACUUUUACCACAAGGUACAUGCUGUAUGAGUAUACCGUUAUGUCAUUUGGUCUGACUAACGCACCUGCCUAUUUUAUGAACAUGAUGACAAAGUGUUUAUGGAGUUUUUGGAUAAGUUCGUCGUAGUAUUCAUUGAUGAUAUUCUGGUUUACUCGAAGAAUGAAGAAGAACAUAAAGAACAUUUGCUUUUGGUACUUGCUAAGCUCAGAGAACAUCAGUUAUACGCCAAAUUCAGCAAAUGUGAGUUUUGGUUGAAGGAAGCUGGAUUCCUCGGACAUGUUAUAUCCGGACAAGGAAUAGCAGUAGAUCCCACCAAGGUUGUCACUAUGACAAAUUGGGAAGCCCCAACAACAGUUGGAGAGAUCCGGAGUUUUCUUGGACUCGCAGGAUACUACCGGAGAUUCAUUGAAAAUUUCUCGAAGAUUGCAAAACCUAUGACGGAGUUGUUGAAGAAGGAUACCAAGUUCAAAUGGACUGAGGAAUGUGAGGCCAGUUUCCAGUAGUUAAAGAAACGUUUGGUUACCUCGCCAGUGUUGAUUCUGCCAGAUCAGCGCAAGGAUUAUGAGGUAUAUUGCGCCGCUUCACGUUGAGGACUUGGAGCAGUGCUUAUGCAGGAGGGUAGAGUUGUUUCAUAUGCCUCACGACAGCUUAAGCCCCAUGAGUUGAAUUAUGCUACUCAUGACUUGGAGUUAGCAGCCGUAGUGCACGCUUUGAAGACAUGGAGACAUUUUCUCAUCGGAAAUCAUUGUGAGGUGUACACGGAUCACAAGAGUUUGAAGUACAUCUUCACGCAGAAGGAGUUGAAUCUCAAGCAAAGGAGAUGGUUGGAGCUCAUCAAGGAUUAUGAUAUGAGAUUGCAUUAUCAUCCCGGAAAGGCUAACGUAGUAGCUGACGCAUUGAGCCGCAAGAGCCAUGUUAACACACUAAUGACCGGAGUGUUACCAAAAGAAUUAGCCGAGGAUCUUCGUGAGCUAUGUUUGGUGAUAGUUCCGAGAGGCUAUGUAGCAGCAUUGGAGAUUCAGUCUACUCUGAUGGAUAAGAUCAGAGAAGCUCAGAAGACCGACAAGGAAAUUGCCACCAUAAAGGAGAAGGUGAGCAAGGGAAAAGUUAAAGGAUUUCGUGAGGAUGAAUACGAUACCUUAUGGUUUGAGGACCGCGUUUAUGUGCCUAAUGACCGGAGAUCAGGAAGUUAAUUUUGCAAGAGGCCCAUGAUUCGCCGUACUCGAUUCACCCAGGAAACACCAAGAUGUAUUUGGAUUUGAAGGACACUUUCUGGUGGACUAGAAUGAACAAGGAUAUUGCGGCGUAUGUAGCAGUCUGUGAUGUAUGUCAGAGAGUGAAGGCAGAGCAUCAGAAGCCAGCAGGAUUGCUACAGCCAUUGCCGAUACCCGAAUGGAAGUGGGAUAAGCUAGGCAUGGAUUUCAUCACGGGAUUACCCAGGACCCGUUCAGGCUAUGACUCGAUAUUGGUUAUAGUCGAUCGCCUGACGAAGGUAGCUCAUUUCAUCCUAGUGAAGACCACUUACACCAGUGCUAAGUUGGCAAAGAUAUACAUGACCAAGAUUGUAUGUUUGCAUGGAGUUUUGAGGAGCAUUGUAUCAGAUAGAGAAACCCAGUUUACCUCAAAGUUCUGGAAUCAGUUUCACGAAACUUUGGGUACCAGGCUAGACUUCAGUACAACUUUUCAUCCACAGACCGAUGGACAGACCGAGAGAGUCAAUUAGAUUCUGGAGGAUAUGCUAAGAGCUUGUGCGCUAGAUUAUGGAUCUAGUUGGGAUGACAACUUACCAUAUGCGGAGUUCUCUUACAACAAUAGUUAUCAAUCUAGUUUGAAGAUGGCCCCUUUUGAAGCCUUGUACGGAAGAAUGUGCAGAACACCAUUGUCGUGGGAUGAAGUUGGAGACCGCCAGUUAUUUGGACCAGAUCUGAUUAAGGAGUCUGAACAGAAGGUGAAGUUGAUUCGUGAUAGGCUCAAGGUAGCCCAAUCGAGGCAGAAGAGCUAUGCAGAUUCUAAACGCAAGGAGACGGUUUACGAAGCCGGAGAUAGAGUUUAUCUUCGUGUAUCUCCACUUCGAGGAGUUAAGCGCUUUGGAGUUAAGGGAAAGUUAGCGCCACGUUUUGUGGGACCAUACAAAGUUUUGGAACGCAUGGGAGAAGUUGCUUAUAAAUUGGAACUGCCCGAGGGAUUGUCGGCAGUUCAUGACGUGUUGCACGUUUCCCAGUUAAAGAAGUGCCACGCAGAGAUGGCGGAUAUACCAUUGAGAGAUACAGUGCCGCUGGAAGCGAUUCAGUUGGAUAGUGAUUUGACUUAUGAGGAGAAACCAAUCAAGAUUCUCGAGUAUGCCAGCCGAGUCACUCGCAGCAAGGUUAUCAAGUUUUGCAAAGUUCAGUGGAGCCACCAUACCGAGAAUGAAGCCACCUGGGAACGAGAAGAAGAUCUACGGAAAGACCACCCUCACCUAUUUGCUAGCCAACCCGAAUCUCGAGGGCGAGAUUCAUCUUAAGGGGGGUAGGUUUAUAACAUCCCAAAAUUUUAAUUUGGAAUGUUAUACAUUAGAUCAUCAUUGCAUAUCAUAUUUUAUUGCAUUUUGGCUAGAUCCUAGAAAUCCUACGCAACUAAAGGACCCAUGGAGAGAGUUGGGGAUUUCGUUAUUUUCAUAUUUGGGUUUUCUCAAAUUUUGAAAAUAGGAUCAUUUGAUUUUAUUUAUUUUAUCUCAAUUAUUUCAAUUAUAAAAAUAAGAGAGAGGGAAUAAAAUGACUUUCCCAAAAUAAAGAAAUAUUGAGGAUUUAAUAAAAAAUCAAAUAAGAUUUUAUUUCGGAGUUUUCUCGCUAUUUUAUUUGAAUUAGGAAAAAAUACGCGUUUUUCAAAAUUGCAUUUAGGACCCAAAUAAAUGUUCAUCUUGUCCGGCUUGAUUUUAGAAGUCUGGGAAAAUUUAUUUUGGGAUUUUUGGAUUCCGUUUAGUAUUUCUUUUAUUUGUUUUUCUGCGUGAAAUUAUUAUAAAAAAACGAACCGACCUAACCGGGUCGUGUCCGACUAGGACUCUGGCCCGACCGACCCUUAUAAGCCGGGGAGGCCACCCCGUAGCCCAGCCCGAGCCGCCCUGCCACCCCAAACCCUAGCGCCGCUGCNNNNNNNNNNNNNNNNNNNNNNNNNNNNNNNNNNNNNNNNNNNNNNNNNNNNNNNNNNNNNNNNNNNNNNNNNNNNNNNNNNNNNNNNNNNNNNNNNNNNNNNNNNNNNNNNNNNNNNNNNNNNNNNNNNNNNNNNNNNNNNNNNNNNNNNNNNNNNNNNNNNNNNNNNNNNNNNNNNNNNNNNNNNNNNNNNNNNNNNNNNNNNNNNNNNNNNNNNNNNNNNNNNNNNNNNNNNNNNNNNNNNNNNNNNNNNNNNNNNNNNNNNNNNNNNNNNNNNNNNNNNNNNNNNNNNNNNNNNNNNNNNNNNNNNNNNNNNNNNNNNNNNNNNNNNNNNNNNNNNNNNNNNNNNNNNNNNNNNNNNNNNNNNNNNNNNNNNNNNNNNNNNNNNNNNNNNNNNNNNNNNNNNNNNNNNNNNNNNNNNNNNNNNNNNNNNNNNNNNNNNNNNNNNNNNNNNNNNNNNNNNNNNNNNNNNNNNNNNNNNNNNNNNNNNNNNNNNNNNNNNNNNNNNNNNNNNNNNNNNNNNNNNNNNNNNNNNNNNNNNNNNGGAGCCGCUCCGCCGCCGACCCCGCCACCCACCGGAGCCCCCGCCCGACGCUGGAGCUGCCCCACCGCCGUCGUUCCGCUGCCGAGGUUGACCACCGCCGCCGCCGCCGGUUUCCUCGAGAAAACCGUCAGGUUUUCGUUCGUUUUUAAAAAAAACUAGAUUUGUUUUUUAUAUAGAUCGGUUUUUUUGGUUUAGUUUAUUUAGCGAACGCCCGUUCGUUCGUUCGUUCGUUUUAACGAACGGUUUUCGUCUUUUAGCCGCAGUUAGCGAACAUUCGUUCGUUAGCCAGUUUGUCCAUUUUUAUUUUUCUCGCAUUUUCCGCGAUUAUCUCUGAUCGCGAUUUCUGAUUUAUUUUUCGUUUUAGUAUAACUUUUCGCUCGUUUAUCGGAAUCAGGCGAUUCAAGCGCCUAAGUUUCGUCUCGAAACCCUCUUUCCGUUUAACCAACUCAAACAAGUUCUUGCUUCUGUAAAAUUUGACUUAGGUCCAGAUUAAUAAACACAGUCUGUUUCUUUCGCCGUUUGACUUUCGUUGUUUCGUUUGAAUUGUUUCUUUUUGCAAACCGGAGUUCUUAAGUUGAACUUUCUGGUUAGAUCUCUUAUUUGAGUUUUACCUGUGCAUUAGAUGAGUGCUUAUUGUGUGCUUGUUUGUUUGCGAUAGAGUACACGGAGUGCGCCGCUUGCUACUUCAAAUCUCUAGGUUUCACGGAUCAUCAACAAGACAAGUAACACUUUGAUCAUACCUCUUACUACCCAGUUUUAUUGCAUUAGAUAAAUCCUCAAACAAUUGCAUGAUUAGGAUCUGAAUUAAAUUGUGGGUUUGGGAAGUAGAUGAGGUAGUACCUAUUCACCUGUUUAUUAUCAAACCCUGGGAGUUACUUCUACGUUAUGCUUAUAUUCCUAUGCUAUGCUCAUAGACGUGGUUUGGGUUUGAGUGUAUUCAUGACAGAUGUGAGAUUGUUUAAUUAAUGGUUAACUUAAGGUGGCAACUCUAAUACACAUCUGGGUGGAUUGAGGCACCUGGGUAUUCUAGUGAUUGCCUAUUUUUCUUUAUGAACCGCCACCCAGGCUCAAAGGGAUCAUGAGAUUAUUCAUACUAGAAACUUUCGUGUGCAACCACAAGCUACUAUGGGCUCUAGCAUAGUUGAUUAAGUCAUGCGAACUCUUAUAGUGGUAGACUAGCAGAUGUAGAGGAAAGUAGGUGUAAUGGUCUACCCGAUCGUAAGGUGCUAGCGCAUCUGAAAAACUAUGUCUCGGUCAUCCGUUUCUCAAACACCAUGUAGUGCAAGAAUCCCAACGGAGGAGAUCGAGUCUUGUGGGGAAAAGUGCGCAAACCUCUGCAGAGUGUAUAAACUAAUCAUGGUUAGCCGUGUCCCUGGUUAUGGACAACUUGAGUAUAUAGUACUUGGAUUAUCAUGUGAAUCUCAUCAUGUGACUUUAAUUAAUUUUGUUUGGUUUUAAUGAUGAUGUUUAAUUGGGAUUGAGAGGGUGUCUACGCUCUAAAUGUUUAACAACCACCAUGAUAGUUAAUUAAAAUUUAUUCCUUUGCAGUAGGGAAAAACUGGCUUUACGUAAAACUAUAACCAUGGAGCUUUCCACCAGCCAUAUAUGCAUGUAGUAUAGCCUAUUCUGUUCACUACUCUCUAUGUGUUACAUUGCCAGCAUAUUCCAUGUGCUUACCCGUUUUCGGGCUACAACGUUCAUGUUGCAGACUUUUCAGACGACGAAUAAGGAGCCAUAGGUCGUGGUUCUAUACUCAGUGAUGCCGUUGGAGUUGAUGGACUCACUUAUCUUCCAAGCCUUCCGCUGUUAUCGUUAUUAGAUGGCCUUAAGCCACAUUAUUUGUAAUAAGUUCUCUUUUGAGACAUUCGAUGUAAUAAGUGUGUGAUUGCUACUCUGUUAUAAAUCAUUCAAGUAUUGUGCGUGUCAGCAUUACUGAUCCAGGGAUGACACUGAAGCACAGAGAUCAGACUGUUUGAGGUCUGGUCGCUACAGAUUUCCAAGGCACCCCAAGGUAAUAUUCAAGGAUAACCAAGAACCAAAGUUUGGGGAUGCCCCGGAAGGCAUCCGCUCUGUCGUCUUCGUCUAUGGGUAACUUUACUUGAGGCUAUAUUUUUAUUCACUACAUGAUAUGUGUUUUGCUUAGAGCGUCUUGUAUGAUUUGAGUUCUUUCUUUUUAGUUUGCCACACUCAUCCUUGCUGUACACACCUUUUGAGAGAGACACGCAUGAUUCGUGAUUUAUUAGAAUACUCUAUGUGCUUCACUUAUAUCUUUUGAGCUAGGCAAAUUUUGCUCUAGUGCUUCACUCAUAUCUUUUUAGAGCACGGCGGUGUUUUUAUUUUAUAGAAAUUGAUGAACCCUCGUACUUCACUUAUAUUAUUUUGAGAGUCUUUAAACAACAUGGUAAUUUGCUUUGGUUAUAAAAUUAGUCCUAAUAUGAUAGGCAUCCAAGAGGGAUAUAAUAAAACUUUCAUAUAAAGUGCAUUAAAUACUAUGAGAAGUUUGAUUCCAUAUGAUUGUUUUGAGAUAUGAAGAUGGUGAUAUUAGAGUCAUGCUAGUGAGUAGUUGUGAAUUUGAGAGAUACUUGUGUUAAGGUUUGUGAGUCCCGUAGAAUGCAGGUAUGGUGAACCGUUAUGUAACGAAGUUGGAGCAUGAGAUAUUUUUUGAUUGUCUUCCUUAUGAGUGGCGGUCUGGGAUGAGCGAUGGUCUUUCUCUACCAAUCUAUCCCCCUAGGAGUAUGCGUGUAGUACUUUGUUUCGAUGACUAAUAGAUUUUUGCAACAAGUGAGUUCUUUAUGACUAGUGUUGAGUCCAUGGAUUAUACGCACUCUCACCCUUCUGCCAUUGCUAGCCUCUCUUGUACCGCGCAACUUUUGUCGGUACCAUAAACCAAACAUAUACCUUCCUCAAAAUAGCCACCAUACCUACCUAUUAUGGCAUUUCCAUAGCCAUUUCGAGAUAUAUUGCCAUGCAACUUUCCACCAUUCUGUUUAUUAUGACACGCAUCAUCAUUGUCAUGUAGUUGACACCGUAUUUGUGGAAAAGCCACCGUUCAUCAUUUUAUACAUGUCACUCUUGACUCAUUGCACAUCCCGGUACACCACCGAAGGUUUUCAUAUAGAGUCAUAUCUUGUUCUAUAUCGAGUUGUAAUUUUUGAGUUGUAACUAAAUAGAAGUAUGAUGAUAUUCCUUUUUAGAACAUUGUCCCGUGUGAGGAAAUAAAAGAAAGAAAGAAAAAAGAGGAGAAAAAGAAAAGAGAGAGAGAGAGAGAGAGAGAGAGAGAGAGAAAUGAGAGAAAAAGAGAGAAGGGGCAAUGUUACUAUCCUUUUCCAUACUUGUGCUUCAAAGUAGCACCUUGAUCUUCAUGAUAGAGAGUCUCCUAUGUUGUCACUUCCAUAUAGUAGUGGGAAUUUUCAUUAUAGAACUUGGCUUGUAUAUUCCAACGAUAGGCUUCCUCAAAUGCCCUAGGUCUUCAUGAGAAAGCAAGUUGGAUGCACACCCACUUAGUUUUCUUUUUGAGAUUUCAUAAACUUAUAGCUCUAGUGCAUCCAUUGCAUGGCAAUCCCUACUCACUCACAUUGAUAUCUAUUAAUGGGCAUAUCCAUAGCCCGUUGAUACGCCUAGUUGAUGUGAGACUAUCUCCCUCUUUUUGUCUUCUCCACAACCACCUUCUAUUCCACCUAUAGUGCUAUGUCCACGGCUCACGAUCAUGUAUUGCGUGAAAGUUGAAAAGGUUUGAGAACAUUAAAAGUAUGAAACAAUUGCUUGGCUUAUCAUCGGGGUUGUGCAUGAUUUGAAUAUUUUAUGUGAUGAAGAUGGAGCAUAGCCACACUAUAUGAUUUUGUAGGGAUGAGCUUUCUUUGGCCAUGUUAUUUUGAGAAGACAUAAUUAUUUUGUUAGUAUGCUUGAAGUAUUAUUGUUUUUAUGACAAUAUUAAUUUUUUUUGAGUCAUACGGAUCUGAACAUUCAUGCCACAAUAGAGAAAAUUACAUGGAUAAAUAUGUUAGGUAGCAUUCCACAUCAAAAAUUCUAUUUUUAUUAUUUACCUACUCGAGGACGAGCGGGAAUUAAGCUUGGGGAUGCUUGAUACGUCUCCAACCUAUCUAUAAUUUUUAUUGUUCCAUGCUAUUAUAUUAUCUGUUUUGGAUGUUUUAUAUGCAUCAAUAUGCUAUUUUAUAUUAUUUUUGGGACUAACCUAUUAACCUAGAGCCCAGUGCCAGUUCCCGUUUUUUCCUUGUUUUAGAGUUUCGCAGAAAAGGAAUACCAAACGGAGUCCAAACGGAAUGAAAAUUCUGCGACGAUUUUUCUUGGACUAGAAGACAUCCAGAGGACUUGGAGUGCACGUGAAGGAAGCCACGAGGCAGCCACAAGGUCGGAGGGAGCGCCCCCACCCUAGUGGGCCCCUCGUGACUCCACCGACCUAUUUCUUCCACCUAUAUAUUCUCAAAUAUUCCAAAACCUACCAGGAGAGCCAUGAAAGCACUUUUUCAUUGCCGCAACCUUCUGUUCGUGUGAGAUCCCAUCUAGGGCCUUUUCCAGCGUCCUGCCGAAGGGGGAUUUGAUCACGGAGGGCUUCUACAUCAACACCAUUGCCUCUCCGAUGAAGCGUGAGUAGUUUACCACAGACCUACGGGUUCAUAGCUAGUAGCUAGAUGGCUUCUUCUCUCUCUUUGAUUCUCAAUACCAUGUUCUCCCCGAUGUUCUUGGAGAUCUAUUCGAUGUAAUACUCUCUUUGCGGUGUGUUUGUCGAGAUCUGGUGAAUUGUGGAUUUAUGAUCAGCUUAUCUAUGAAUAUUAUUUGAAUCUCCUCUGAAUUCUUAUAUGCAUGAUUUGAUAUCUUUGCAAGUCUCUUCGAACUAUUUGGUUUGGCCAACUAGAUUGGUUUUUUUGCAAUGGGAGAAGUGCUUAGCUUUGGGUUCAAUCUUGCGGUGUCCUUUCCCAAUGACAGUAGGGGCAGCAAGGCAUGUAUUGUAUUGUUGCAAUAGAGGAUAACAAGAUGGGGUUUUCAUCAUAUUGCUUGAGUUUAUUCCGCCACAUCAUGUGAUUUUGCUUAAAGCGUUACUUUGUUCUUAUGAACUUAAGACUCUAGAUGCAUGUAUGAGUCGGUCCAUGUGUGGAGUAAUAGUAGUAGAUGCGGGCAGGAGCCGAUCUACUUGAUACGGACGUGAUGCCUAUAUUCAUGAUCAUUGCCUUACAUAUCGUCAUAACUUUGCGCUUUCCUAUCAAUUGCUCGGCAGUAAUUUGUUUACCCAUCGUAAUAAUUUCUAUCUUGAGAGAAGCCUAUAGUGAAACCUAUGGCCCUCGGGUCUAUUUUCCAUCAUAUAAGUUUCCGAUCUACAAUUUUAGUUUCCUAUUUACUUCCUUUGUAAUCUUUACUUUCUGUUCCAUAAACCAAAAAUAUUACUUUACUCUUUAUCCAUCUUUAUCAGAUCUCACUUUGCAAAUAACCGUGAAGGGAUUGACAACCCCUUUGUCGCGUUCGCUGCAAGUUGGUGUUUGUUUGUGCAGGUAUUCGGUGACUUGUGCGUUGUCUCCUACUGGAUUCAUACCUUGGUUCUGAAAACUGAGGGAAGUACUUAAUCUACUUUGGUGCAUCACCCUUUCCUCUUUAAGAGAAAAACCAACGCAAGCUCAAGAGGUAGCAAUGUGCUGAAGAGUGGCUCACCCAUAGUGGAGUAUGGGGGAGCAAUCUACUUGUCUUCAUCGAGCCAACGCAAUCAAGAAAUGUGGUCCAACUUGAGGAGGUCAAGAUCAUCAUCAUCUAGGUCAAGUGGACUAUGUGCAAGGCAAAGGUUCAUGGUGGUAGUUGAGAGACCGGGUUAUAGGAUUUGCCGUACUAUUAAGGGGGGCUCCCGAGUGAGUAGCUUGAUCGUAUCAUUCGUAGAGAGCUCAAACCAUUGCAUCCUUGCAUCAUCUUUCUUGGUUCUUGUUUGGUUCUUCUCCUUGUGAGAUUUGGAACUUAUGGUCAUCUUCAUGACAAGCUCGAGUUCAUCGAAAACAGAGUUCACAUGCAUCUUCUAUGAGGUUUUAAAUGUUGGUUUUUUGCAUGUUCUUCAUUCAUAGAGGUUUCACAUAUGUAUAUCAUUGGCAUUUUUAUACUGCCUCUUCUCGCUAUUUGGAUAGUAGUCAUCGUCAUCUGUCGAACAAGCUUGAGUUUGCUCUGUUCGAAGCCCGUAUGGAGAAGUUAUGGCAGUUCUAGUUUUCCUACUUCCAUCUGUUUGCUUGGGCUAUUUUCAAGCUCACUAGCGGUAGUACUGCUUGCGUGGUACUUCUGCGAUCCAUUACCGCGGGGACCACCGCUUGUGUUCAGGCUUCUGGACUUGUUUUCGCUUCGACGACAGUUGGGCACGGUAGUACCGCACGUGCCCAGCGAUAGUACUGUUCCCGCGAUACUUCCGCGAUCGACUACCACUGCUACUUCCGCCUAUUUUAUUGCCACUGGACUCGUCUUUCUCUCCGCAGUUGUAGAGCGACUAUAAGGGACGAUAGUACUACUUCUCCCCUGUAUACUGCAACCUCAGCGAUAGUACCACCACGGCGAGCGGUAGUACCGCUCUUGCGACACCGACGACGACUAUAAUGCCUGGCUCGCUCGCAUCACCAAGCACAUCAAUGUUGCCGGCGUCGCCCUGGCGCCAUCUCGCUCCUUGCCGCCUCCGCCAUUGCGUGACGCGUGGGGGUGGCAAGACGCACCUCCUCCACCUGCUCCGCGCAACGAUGGCGUGCCACACCACCGUCUGGAGCGCUCGCCUGAGCCCUCCCACGGCUCCUCCCGGCUGGGUGGCGACAACCCGAGCUGCCAGAUCAUCCAGCGUGCGCGCCCUGACGCACAAGUGCUCAUCGAGAGCCAACGCGAGCACCAAAACCACACCAUCCAGGAGGUCGUGGCCGUCGGGCGCCAGAACCACACUGCCCUUGCAGGCGGCGGCGUCUCCACCGUCGGGGGCUGCAUGGCUUUCACACGCGAGCUCCAUCGCGUGGUGUGGCCCUCAAAGUUCAAGCCGCACCUGCCUCCCCGCUACGACGGCACCGCCAAA